rnacentral:lncRNA from 1 species
UUUUUUUUUUCCUUCUUCCUUUAUUUAGGCAAGCAACAUCAGGUUUAACAAGUGGCUAAUUAUGUGUCAUCACCAUGCCUCGAGCUCACUUGGCAAAAAAAAAUGAAAAGAAAGGAAAGCGCCGUUUGAUUGUGGGCAAUGUGGUUUCAAUUUUGUUCGUCCUUCCCGGCCCUCUCUUACUAGGGAAAAGCGUAUCAGGUUUAACAAGUGGCUAAUUAUCUUCCAUUCUCCCUUUUCCUAGAAUGUAUCCUGAGACUGAAUUGAUGCUCAAUCUCAGGUCGUCUUCUUUGCAAUCACGACGAAAAAUAAAGAAAGAUAUGACUAAUCGAAAUAUUGUCAGCCACUCUUUUUUUUUUUGAGAAAAGAGAAAAGACGGGGCAUCCGAAAGAAAAGAGUGCAAGCCCAGGGCCCAUUUCACGCAGACGAAAAGCCCAGCCCAAUUGUAUAUGUCUGUCAGCCAAUGUGAGAGAGACUGACCCACGGCUUCCCCCAGCUCCCUCCCUCCCCUCGCCGCCGGCGCCGCCAUGCUCCGGCGCCGAGGCCGCGUCCUCAUCCGGAAGCUCUCCACUCCCUCCGCCGCCACCACCUCCCCUCUCCACCGCAUCAUAUGCGCCGCCGCCCCACCACAGGCACACGCUCGGAGCUGCAUCCUCUCCUCUCUCCGCCGCCUCAUCUCCGGCGCCACAGCCCCCGGCAUCUCCCCGACCUCUGGGUUCGCCGUGGAGGAGUACCUUGUCGACACCUGCGGCCUCACCCGACCCCAGGCACUGAAGGCUUCCCCCAAGCUGUCCCACCUCAGGUCCGCCGCCAACCCCGACGCCGUGCUCGCCUUCCUCGCCGGCCGCGGCCUCUCCGGCGCCGACGUCGCCGCCCUCGUCGCCAAGGACCCCAAGUUCCUCUGCACCAAGGUCGACAAGGGCCUGUCCCCCAUCGUCACGGGGCUCUCCGGCCUCGGCCUGUCAGAUCCCGACAUGGCGCGCCUCCUCUCGCUCGCCCCACACAAAUUCCGCUGCAGAUCCAUCGUCGCCAAGCUGCACUACUACCUGCCCCUCUUUGGCGGCUCCUCGGAGAAGCUGCUCCGGGCCAUCAACUUCAACACCAACCUCCUCUGCUGCAAGAGGAGGGUGGAGCUCAACGUCGCCUUCCUGCGCGAGUGCGGGCUGGGUGAUCCCGACAUUGCCAAGCUGUGCAGCUCGAUACCGAGGAUGGUCACCACCAACCUGGAGCGUGUCCAGACAAUGGUGGCGUUGACCGAAGGCCUCGGCGUGUCCCGGGGGUCCGGGAUGUUCAGGCAUGCUCUCAGUGCCGUCGCGUUCCUCGACGAGAAGAAGAUCGCGGCCAAAGUGGAUCACCUGAAGAAGACGCUAGGGUGGUCGGAUGUCGAGGUGAGCAUUGCUCUGCCUAAGGCCCCGUUUUUGCUCGCCAAGUCGAAUGAAUCGCUGCAGCACGGGUCCGAGUUCCUCAUCUCUGAGGUGGGGUUGAAACCGGCGUACAUUGCUCGUCGGCCGGUACUGCUCUGUUACAGCCUAGAGGGCCGGAUGAGACCUCGGUACUACGUUGUGAAGUUUCUCAAGGAAAAUGGAUUGCUCAAGCGUGACCCCAGCUACUAUACUGUUUUCAAGGAGACCGAGAAGUAUUUCGUGGAGAAGUUCAUAUGCCCUCACAAGGAAGCUGCACCACACCUUGCUGAAGAUUAUGCUGCCGCUUGCGGAGGGGAAGUGCCCGCUAGAUUUAGAUUUACAGGUCUAACAACAUGAACCAAGAAUUCUGAGUAAUAUAUGUAGAAUCGUGAUGUAGUUCUGAAGCCAGCUAUGUGUUGGUCAUUAUUUUGUAAUGGAGAACAACAUACAUGUUUUCUGAAGAUUUAUCUGGCUUUCCAAAAUCUAUCCUUUGAUUAUGUACUGAUUUCUCCUUUGUGCCAUGCUAAUCAGAAGAUUACUUUAUAUGUUGAGCUUUUACUUCAUAAUCUUCAUGGGAAGUUCACUGCUUCAUAAAUAUUCAGAAAUAUUUUUUAUUGCCAUUUUUUGAAUUACAGUUCACGUCAUGGUUAUCUUGACUUUCAGGAUAGUUGGUUGCGGCAUCAGAGAAAGGUAGGUCACAAGCUGUAGGUGCAUGCCAACUUCAAAGGUUAGAGACCCCAGAUCUGGGAGAGGCAGUGCUGNNNNNNNNNNNNNNNNNNNNNNNNNNNNNNNNNNNNNNNNNNNNNNNNNNNNNNNNNNNNNNNNNNNNNNNNNNNNNNNNNNNNNNNNNNNNNNNNNNNNNNNNNNNNNNNNNNNNNNNNNNNNNNNNNNNNNNNNNNNNNNNNNNNNNNNNNNNNNNNNNNNNNNNNNNNNNNNNNNNNNNNNNNNNNNNNNNNNACAUCGACGCUUAAGCUUUGGUAUGAGAUAUAUGGGAUUUUGUCAAGCCGGUCUUCCAAAACUGAAAGGAAUUUUCUGUCUAUGAAGCAGGCGACUUGGGAUGAUUAUCGGAUGUCAUUCAAUUACUUUUAGAUGAUGCCCAUCAUCUUUUUGUGCAUUUCAUGUUGGCAACCUUGCUAUUGUGCUUGCUGGUUGAUGAUAGUGUCCGUGCAAUGAUAUAAGCUUGCUAAAGGAAACCAAUAUAAGGUACUUCAUAAUCUAGAGACCUUUACUUUCUGCUUCUUUUUCAUCACUAACAUAUGUUCACAAAGAAUGGGCACCCGCAUUUACCAAAACAAACUGUGAGCUGCAUUGGUUUCAGUUGCACACAUCACUCAAUUCAUUGGUGGCCUCACUUUCUUUUGUGAAUUCUGCGAUCUGUUGAGGUUGUGAUUAGUUCACUUGGUCUAAUCAUGUUAGUACAGAACUAAAUAUCUGUCAAAAAUUUGCCCACUAUCUGAUGAAACUCCCUUCAAUGUUAUGAAGGAGGUAAACCUUGAUAACUGGGCAUCCUGUGUAGAAUAUGCAUGUUCUUUCAGCAUUGCUAAACCUGCACAGAACUUAAUUCGCUAAGUACGUCCUACUCCAUGAUGUAACUUGUGAUCUUGAUCUGAAUGAGCUAUAGUAUGUUCUACGUGGUAUGUUCAAUACAGUUAGUUUGUAGCUUGUGAUCUUGACGUGAAUGAGCUGUAGUAUGUUCCACUACAGUAGUAUGUUCAUUGCAGUUAGUUUGUACUGGAUCUAUCAGGGGUGUUAUGUAACUCAAGACAAGAAGAUGUUGCUUACCAUUUGCAAAUUGUUAAAUUAUUUCAUGGCGUCGGCUUAUGUUUGCUCCUUGCACUCACCAUCUCUAUGGUUGCUGUGUCAGGUGGGAGCAUGGAGUGUAUAGCCUUGCUUGUUUCUGCGACGGCCUGAUAAGCCGAUCGUGGGUAUCAGACCCCCUGGGAGUGGAUGCAGGACACUGGAUUUGCCAGUCAGGUAAAUUCAGUUCUCUAGCACAUGACAGAUUCGUGCAUAUCAAUCAUUUGGGCACGCAUAAUGCUAUAUCUGUUGUUAGAACUUAGCCCCUGUAUGGAAGGCACCUAUCGCAAAUGAAGGGCUAUGGUGUCAUUGCCAAACCACUAACUCGGUUAUUGAAGCAGAAGCAGUUUGAGUGGUCUACUUUAGCUCAGGAGGCUUUUUAGGCUUUGAAGCUAGCGAUGAGCUCUAAUCCUGUUCUCCUAUUGCCAGGCUUCAAUAAGCAACUCUAUCUGAAAACUGAUGCUUGUGUCGCAUGUAUUGGAGCAGUAGUUUCUCAAUAUGGGGGAGGGGGACGGGGGUGAGAGAGAGGUGUGGUCUCUCCAGCAUCCUAUACUGAGGUUCUGGGUAGAUCAAGAUCUGGAAGUGAAAAAUAUCUGACCAAAAAAAUCAAUCACAGCACAAAUAUCAAAGCUGAUCAAGGGCAGGAACAAAUUAGACUGAUUUUAAAUAAAUAGAACAAAUUAGACUGAUUUUGUUUUCAGAAGAAAAAAAACAGUGCAAAUUAUGUCGAGUAUGUUUAUCAUAUGCAUGGUCAAAACCACAAAUUACUCCUGAUCGGUCGAUGUGCAAACAAUGAGAUAAGGUAGGACACAUAUGCUGAUAUGAAUGCAUGGUUGAUAAGUACAUCAGAUACACGAACAUGGAGUAUGUAAACAGACAUAAUUGACUCUAAUUAAAUCCAUGGUCACUAUCAGUGAGGAUUAUUAACGUUUUCCUCACGAGGCAUAGGAACCCAAAUUGGUAUUUGGUUCUCUGCACAUAGCCCACUUUGAGUUCUUAAUCACGUCUGAGUACAAGAUUCCAACUAACAGCUUCCCUAGACUCCCAUUGUGAUCUUGAACUAACAUUCAUUUUGGAAGGUUAUCUUUAAGUAAGUUAUAAACAAUUAACGACAAUACAUACUCCUUUACCCUACUAUUUUUCUACAGGAAAGAUUUUCACCUGAAUAUAUAAAUAUUUCAAUUUUUCUCACACACUUGUUAGCUUCAUAAUUGCUUUUGUUGAACAAAUGCAGAUGAAGCACAUUUCAUCAACUCCCUUCUGUGAUGCCUCGGACGAAUUAGAAGUACAACUGGCUGAAGAAAAAGAAAUACAGGAGUACGUUAACACCAAAUAUCCUUCGGUGCACAACAUUCAGGUAAGUAGAUAUAUGCAACAGCUCCAGACAGAUUGCACGUACUAUUUUUUCUUAAACUCAAAGAGGAGCUUUCUGACUGCUUUUAUCCUACUAUAAAACUCUCUUUAACUCCCAUUACUCCAUUUUGAACUGGUGUCAGGAGAAGAAAAUGCUCGAACGUUGCAGUCAGAAGUUUUGGCAAACAAUUCUAAAAAAAACUCCAUACCAACUGUGAAAACUUACACCGAGGAUGUCCACAGCUCAAACUACACCAACAGUACCUCCAGUGAUAUAAGUCAUUCCAGAGCUACAAAAUUGCCAUCUACUUCAAACAUCCAGCUGUCUUCUGCUGCAACAAAUACUUGUGUACCACAGUUUACAAAAGAAUUGAAACCAGAGAUAGACUCAUUCUUAUCUUCCUUCGAUUUCUUGGAUUUUCCUAUGCCUGCUAAAUAUCCUCCAAGUUAUGAUUUGGAAAUCAGCAAUUUACAGAUCGAUUUGUUCAUCCACAAAUUCUCUGAAUGCUUAAAUCUGGACAUCUCAGCAAACAAUAAGCUUCUUUUCACUAUCGGCUCACCAAGUUCUCAGGUGUUAGAAUGACAAGAGGUUUUCAACAAAGACCAAACCAACAAAAUUUACAGCGAUAAUCAGACUACACCUUCGCAAGGUACCCAAUUUUUUUUGGCCAUUUCACUAUUAUUUGUUUAGUCCACAAACCUUCUUUUUAUCUAAGUACAUUUUCAGAUGCACCUUUGUAUAGUCUUUCAUGGAUGUAAUCCCUUUCUCUGUUUUCAAUAAAAUUAUAGUCCUAUUUGAAUCCAUGAAAAGGGACCCGGCGUGGAAGGAGUUGCAUGCUUCAGACCGCCUUAAUUUCAUACAGGAAAAGGUUAAAAGUGAAGCCUGCCCAUACCAGUUAUUAAGUUUGGGCAAUGCAUACAAUAAAAUUGGGCUUUAUUUGACCCAACUUUGGAGGCUUAAGGACGUGCGUGGAGGGGGACGAAACGUCCGCUUUAGCUGAUCGUUCCCACGGACGAUCAGUUCGCUGGGGAAUCAUAUUUCGCGCAUAAGUCGGUAUAUAGCUACCAGUUUCCGCGUAGUUCGCUGGGGAACCCCCCCCCCCCCUUACGCGUAGUCCUCUUCUGUGUCGGCCCGUUCCGGGAUCUUCCCCCUACCAGUUUUGGGAAGGUUCUAGAAACUUCCAUGAACCGUUUUUUCCUUUUUUAUAUUGUUUUUUCUUCUGCUUUUCCUUUCGUUUUCUUUUUUGUUUUUCCUUUUUUCUUUUCCGGGUCACGGACAUCUUUUCAAAUUCAUGAACAUUUUUUUGAAUUCGUGAACAUAUUUUUUAAAUCCUGAACCUUUUUUAAUUCGCGAACAUUUUUUAUGAAACUGUGACGAUUUUUCAAAUUGAGGAACAUUUUUUAUCUUUUGCGAACAUUUUUUUGAAAUUGUGAACAUUUUUUUGUAACCCGUGAACAUUAUUUUCAACCGGAGAACAUUUUUUGAAUCAAUGAAUAUUUUAUUGAAUCGGUGAACUUUUUUUGAAUCAGCGAACAUUUUUUGAAUCAAUGAGCACUUUUAGAAUCAUUGAACAUUUUUUUAAAUCAUGAUAAUUGUUUUUGGGAUAUUUAAAAAAUUCAUGAACUUUUUUUAAUUCACAAAUUUGUAUUUCAAAUUUACGAAGAUUUUUUUAAAAAUUAUGAACAUUUAUUUAAAAAAAUUUGGAAAAUUUUAAAAAUCCCGAAGUAUUUUAAAGAAGAUUAAAACAAAAAAACAAAAAACCAAAUGAAUAAAAUAGGAGGGGCAUCCCUGCCCGCUCAUGGGCCAGCCAAAUAGGGGCGAGCAUGACACACUGGCUCGUUGGCUAGCGCGUGACGCGCGGUAUAGGAGGUCCCCGGUUCGCCAGCAUCCCCUCCCCUGGGAAUGAUCGCCAGUUAUUAGGGUCCAUAUAAAAAAUCUAUAUUAUGAUGUUUGGACAUUGGUCUAUGUAAAAAAAAUUCUUUAACAAAGUAUGUACAAACUCGCUCCUAAAUGCUAUAUUACCUCCAUUUGAAUUACUUGUCUUGUACUCCCUCCGUCUCAAAAUAAGUGACUCAACUUUGUACUAGCUUUAGACGGAGGGAGUACUUUUUUUUGUGGGGUAACUAGUGCUUUAUUCAAAAUUCAAAAUUCAAAACAUCAAGGAUACAAGCAAUGUCUGGACUAACAGAAAGGGAAGAAAGCUCCCUUAGCAAUUGAAUGAGCUUCGAAAUUGGACUCUCUAUGCUCGAAACAGAAAGAAACACUAUCAAAAGAUCUAGUACUAAACUGAAUAUCUGGCGAGAUCAUAGCAUAUGGUGAAACAACUCCCUUCUUGAUGUUGCCGAGGACUUUCCAAACAGUCUUAGGCGAUGAUCAUUUAAUGUAGAUUAAGGUCGUGCGCAAGGGAAAUGCCUCUUUCUUCGCUGCAUGCUAGCACUUCCAGAGUAGCUUGAUCAACCAGACCCUCGAAAACAACCGUCGGGGCUCCCAAAUAGUUCCUUGCACCAUCUCUGCAGACCGCCGCCGCCGCCGCCACCCCUUUGUCUCCCAGAACUGAGAUACCUCCUUCCACAUUAAUCUUGCAUGCAUCACUAGGCGGAGGAAUCCAACGUCGUGGCCUUGUGAUGUUAACUUGUGGUUGCUGAGAACGCGCAUCGUCUCGGACCGCCAUAAUCUGGAGGUCCUCCAAGUACCUGUUAAGGCCUUGUACAAUGCAAGGUGCUUGAAGAAAUAAACCAAGUUUUUCUUAAGCACCGGUGCUUAUUUGUAUAGGGCAGACGCUUAAUUAGGCGUCUUUUUUGUAGAAAUAAGCACUGGUGCUUCAGAAAAACCCAAUUUAUUUUUCUAAGCACCUCCCUAAACAUCAUGGGCUAUUCGCUGUCUUGCCCGCCAAAUCGCCCCAUGGUAACCACAAACGAGUCACUCUAAUCUAGGCCCGGACCAGCCCAGACCAGCCCAGCCCAGCCCAGUCGCGUUUGUACCAGGCAAAUCUGGAGGAGGCUCAUCGUCUCGCCAUCGUUCCCCACUCCCUCGCCGCCGCCGCCGCCGCCGCCGCCGCCAUGCUCCGCCUCCGGAGCUGCGUCCUCGCCCAUCUCCUCUCCUCUCCCGCCACCUCCCCGCUCCCCUCUCUCCACCGCCUCCUCUCCGCCGCCGCCGCCUCCCCCAGCUCCGGCUUCUCCGUGGAGGAGUACCUCGUCUCCACCUGCGGGCUCACCCGAGCGCAGGCCCUCAAGGCCUCCCCCAAGCUCUCCCACCUGAGGUCCCCAUCCAAGCCCGACGCCGUCCUCGCCUUCCUCGCCGGCCUCGGCAUCCCCAGCUCCGACGUCGCGGCCCUAGUCGCCAGGGACCCCAAGUUCCUCUGCGCCAGCGUGGAGAGAACCCUGUUCCCCAUCGUCGACGGGCUCACCGGCCUCGGACUGUCGCCUUCCGAGAUCGCGCGACUCGUCCCGCUCACCGCCAACAACAACCACUCCCGCAACAAAUCCGUCGUCUCCAAGGUGGACUACUACCUGCGCCUCUUCGGCUCCUUGGAGGAAUUCCUCCGGGCAUUCAAGCAUAACCACAAUCUCCUCUCACACAACCUCGAGACGGUGGUCAAGCGGAAUGUCGGGUUGCUGCAGGAGUGCACGCUAGGUGCUUGCGACAUUGCCAAGCUUGCCAUCUCUAUGCCAAGGAUGCUCACCGCCAACGUGGAACAAAUCCGGGGGAUGGUGGCCGGUGCUGAACGUCUAGGUGUGCCUCGCGGCUCUGGGAUGUUCCGGCAAGCCAUGCGGAGUGUUGCGUUCGACAGCGAGGACAAGAUCGCCGCCAAAAUGGAAUACAUGAAGGAGACGUUUAGGUGGUCGGAUGCCGAGGUGCGCAUUGCUGUGUCCAAGGCUCCAAUGCUGCUCACCUUGGGCAAGGACCUGCUGCAGAGGAAGUCAGAGUUCCUCAUCUCCGAGGUUGGACUGGAACCACCAUACCUUGCUCAUCGCCCGAUAAUGCUCAGUUACAGCCUAGAGGGGCGGCUCAGGCCACGGUACUACGCUGUAAAGUUUCUCAAGGAAAACGGAUUGCUCAAGGGCAACCUGGGCUAUAAGACAAUUUGGGAUCUGGUUGAGAAAAUAUUCAUGGAGAAGUACAUAUGCCCUCACAUGGAGGCUGCACCACACCUUGCUGAAGACUAUGCGGCCGCAUGCAGAGGGGAAGCGCCAACUAGAUUCAGAUUUACUUGAACCAUCAAUGGGCUAUGAAAAUUGGCAAACUGUGUAGGGCGCUCAACAAGGUUUUCAUUCUGAGUAGCAAGCUGGUAAUUCCUAUUUUUGUGUUCUUUUCCUAACUGGAUGAUAUCUUUUAUCUGCUAUUGACUUUUGAACGCCAACUUGUCGAUGUAUUAUUCAGUAGAGAAGAAAGCAUCGCCUGCAAUCUCUGAAAAUGAUAGGUCCUGGAAUAUAUUUGUGUUUCUGACUUCCGUUUAAGAUCAUGGAAAUUGGAUGUGGGGGUGGAUCAAUUUUCUGUUGAAACCAGGAUCCAGCAAACCAGAAAGCAAAAGAACCAUUCUGUCCUGGUUUCCAUUAAAAACAUUGGUAUGAUAUGCUUUCAUGCUGAAUUCUAUCAGCAUGUCCCAUUUUUGUUUCAUCGUCUUCUUUGUUCCAUCAUAUUUCAGUUAGUACUAGCAGUUCAAUGUUCGAUUUUUAUACUAUGCUUAGGAAAUGUAUUUCUGUUGGGUGUACGUUUGCCUUUUUCUUCUUCCCUGUAUUCUUCAAAGAUUGAUAUGCUUUGUUCCUAAAUUCUAUGGUUGACAUUUGCUGGGAAACUUUUAACUGUGAAAAGCUGACCUAUCCGAGGCUAAAGCAUGAUCGUGAAAUGAAUUAAAUCGUGAGAACUAAACCAAAGAAGACGUCAUGAAUUAGUCUUAUCAUAUCUCUCUACUAUUCAAUACGGCACCCAAUCCAUUCAAGGAACCGCAAAUCCAGAACAUGCAGUGAGCUGAUACACAAUUAUGUUUGUUCAGCUAAGAUCAGGGUGUGCCCAGCAAAUGGUGAUUAAUGUGCCACCAUAUCAAGUUAAAUACAGAGCAAAUGAACAUUUGGAGAUUUGUUCAGAGAGGCUAAAUGGUGUUAGUUUCUAUUUCAAGUAUCAACACUGAUCCUGAGACUUGCAUGAUAAACUACUUUCACACUAGAACACUUGUUUUGCACUAACUCCGGGAUAGAUACUCAUGCUCUGAACUUUUCGUUUGUACCUCUAGGGGCACUUUGUGGAAUGGGCUGUCGAAAGCUUUGGCAACAAAGCUGCUAUUCAGUUUAUAGUUGAAUUUAGCAGCUGCUAAUGCAUGCAGUUUCUUUAUUAAAAAAAAGGAAAGCCCCAAAUGCCAGCGAGGGUUAUAUAACCUGUGAAUUAUGUCUUGCCCUUUUCAUGUGUACAACUAUGAUGUGCCCAAGAACUGGAGGACAUGAUCUCACUCACCAGCAGGUACAGACUAAACUUACGGCAUUAUAAUGGUUGCUGUUUCUGCUUUACGAAAUAGAUACCAAAUCAUGUUCUGCAUUUGUAACCGUCUCUUCCUUUAUAUUCCUCUUUUAUUUCUGAAUGGUCUAAUGGCUUCUGAUCUCAAAACUGAAUAGUGCAGUAGUAGGUAUUUUGUGUAGACCUGUCCACGAAGGUGUAGCAUAACAUAACAGAUAAUUUGAAAGCCCAUUCAUCUCUGUGUAGACCUGGCCACUUGGUCGCCGAACUGAACAUCGAGUCGUACUUACUCCGAAAAUGAUAGGUCAUGUCCUGUUAGUGCAGACCACUUUUAUGUCCUCAAACAUUUGCCACCCCUGAUGCCAUUCAUCUCUGUUACGGUUUUCUCAUUACCUGCAGAAUUUUGGAUCUUAGUGCAAAUGUUACUUGGAAAGCUUCUCCUGUUGUAUACCCAAGUUGGCACACACUUUUUGCAACUGCCCAUUUCUUAGUUGAUGUGUAAUUCUUACUCAAAAUAAAUACAUAAUAGAUUUUUAUCUCAUUUAAUCAGCAAUAAGAGGUUCUUAGACUGGGUGUCUUCUAUUAAAAAAAAAGUGCUACUUUGGCUAGAUUGAUGACUUACCAGAAAGAGCAACAAAUCUGAUAUAUAUAUAUAUAUUUACUAAUUUGAUGCUCUUUUGAAGCCUCCACAUUAAUCCAUGGAGAUCAGCAACUAUGACUGCCGUCUUUGCUGCGGAAGAUCUAGACCCUCGGAUCAGAAGAUGCACCCUCAGAUGGUGUAGGCCUUGCUAGUCAUGUCCUGAGUCCUCACGCAGGCCUUGCUCGUCACCUCCUUUACAAUGCUGCGAAGUAAGGAAGCUUGUAGAAGUAUCCGUGUGUCAUUCCUUUACCAUCACGCUUGCGAGUUCCAGUUUAGAUUUUUUAUCCUUGCAUAUCAUGUGUUCGCUCGUAAUAGUAAUAAUGUCUCAUGAGUUUUAACUGCCCUGAUUUGUUUCCUCUACAAACUGUACAUCUCCAAUCCAGAUAAAUAAGGUUUGCAUGCUCUCCUCUAUGAUUGUAGGUGCUUAAAAUCUACUUUGAUUAAAAAAUGAAUUGGACAACGCCCAACGCUACAUCUGUAAUUACGACUUCACCAAAAGGGCUAAAAACCAACUCAAAAAAAAAACCAACUCAAAAAAGAAAAGAAACGAAAAAACCUAAGAAAAAAAGGAACACCUCACUUUUCCUCUCAGUUCUCCUCACCUCGUCACCUACCUUCACUACCCUUAUCACUUCACUGUCUCCCCACUUCUCCCUGUGGCCACAAGCCAACAACUCUCUCUCUCUACCUCCUCGGGUCGCCCCUCCUCUUCGUCUCCACAGCCGACGCGAGGUCUCGCACCCCCUCUCCCCACUCUUCUCCGCACUUCCUCGUCGAACCGGUCUCUGAAGUGCCCGAGGAUCUGCUCGAUUUCGGCAUGCUCGCUGGCUGACCCAGUGCUAGGCGUGGACGAAGGCCGACGCGGAGGCGCGGGACUCGUCUCCACCAGAUCGGCAGCUGUGGCAAUCGUGCAUCCGAAGCUCCGCGGCCCGGCUCCGUGCCUUCCUCUUCAUCUCGCUCGCCCGACGCUUGGAGCGUCUGCUCGUCGUCGGCUCCCACCACCCUGUGCGUGCGGCUGUGUUGUGCCCUGCCCUGCCCAGUGUUGGAAAUAUGCCCUAGAGGCAAUAAUAAAAUGAUUAUUAUUAUAUUUCCUUGUUCAUGAUAAUUGUCUAUUGUUCAUGCUAUAAUUGUAUUAACCGGAAACAAUGAUACAUGUAUGAAUACAUAGACCACAAGAUGUCCCUAGUGAGCCUCUAGUUGACUAGCUCGUUGAUCAACAGAUAGUCAUGGUUUCCUGACUAUGGACAUUGGAUGUCAUUGAUAACGGGAUCACAUCAUUAGGAGAAUGAUGUGAUGGACAAGACCCAAUCCUAAGCAUAGCACAAGAUCGUGUAGUUCGUUUGCUAAGAGCUUUUCUAAUGGCAAGUAUCAGUUUCUUAGACCAUGAGAUUGUGUAACUCCCGGAUACCGUAGAAGUGCUUUAACUGGGUGACUAUAAAGGCACACUACAGGUAUCUCCGAAAGUGUCUGUUGGGUUGGCACGAAUCGAGACUGGGAUUUGUCACUCCGUAUGACGGAGAGGUAUCUCUGGGCCCACUCGGUAAUGCAUCAUCAUAAUGAGCUCAAUGUGACCAAGUGGUUGGUCACGGGAUCAUGCAUUACGUAACGAGUAAAGUGACUUGCCGGUAACGAGAUUGAGCGAGGUAUUGGGAUACCGACGAUCGAAUCUCGGGCAAGUAAUGUAUCGAUUGACAAAGGGAAUUGUAUACGGGAUUACUUGAAUCCUCGACAUCGUGGUUCAUCCGAUGAGAUCAUCGUGGAACAUGUGGGAACCAACAUGGUUAUCCAGAUUCCGCUAUUGGUUAUUGGCCGGAGAGCUAUCUCGGUCAUGUCUGCAUGAUUCUCGAACCCGUAGGGUCUAUACACUUAAGGUUCGGUGAUGCUAGGGUUAUUAGGAAGACUUGUAUGUGAUUAUGGAAUGUUGUUCGGAGUCCCAGAUGAGAUCCCGGACGUCACGAGGAGUUCCGGAAUGGUCCGGAGGUGAAGAUUUAUAUAUGGGAAGUUGUAAUACGGUCACCGAAAAGUUUCGGGGUCAUACCGGUAUUGUACCGUGGCCACCGGAUGGGUUCCGGGGGUCCACUGGGAGGGCCACCUCUCCCGGAGGGCCUCAUGGGCCAUGGAGGGAAGGGAACCAGCCCCUAGUGGGCUGGGCGCAUCACCCCCCUUGGGCCCAUGCGCCUAUGGUUGGGGGGAAAACCCUAAGGGUGGCGCCCCCCUUGCUUGGGGGGCAAGUCCCACCCCCCCCCUUGGUCGCCGCCCCCCUCUAGAUCUCAUCUAGAGGGGGCCGACCCCCUUCCUCCUUCCCCUAUAAAUAGAGGGGCGAGGGGAGGGCUGCACAGACACCUCCAAGGCGCAACCCCUCCCCUUCCCAACACCUCUCCUCCUCCGCAAAAGCUUGGCGAAGCCCUGCCGGAGUACUGCAUUUCCAUCACCACCACGCCGUCGUGCUGCUGCUGGAGCUUACUUCCUCAACCUCUCCCUCCUCCUUGCUGGAUCAAGGUGCGGGAGACGUCUCCGCUCCGUACGUGUGUUGAACGCGGAGGUGUCGUCCGUUCGGCACUAGGAUCUUAGGUGAUUUGGAUCACGACGAGUACGACUCCAUCAACCCCGUUCUCUUGAACGCUUCCGCUCACGAUCUACAAGGGUAUGUAGAUGCACUCCUAUCUCUCUCGUUGCUAGAUGACUCCAUAGAUUGAUCUUGGUGAUGCGUAGAAAUUUUUUAUUCUCUGCAACGAUCUCCAACAGUGGCAUCAUGAGCUAGGUCUAUGCGUAGUUUCUAUGCACGAGUAGAACACAAUUUUGUUGUGGGCGUAGAUUUUGUAAAUUUACUUGCCACUACUAGUCUUAUCUUGUUUCGACGGCAUCGUGGGAUGAAGCGGCCCGGACCGACCUUACAUGUACGCUUACGUGAGAUAGGUUCCACCGACUGAAAUGCACUAGUUGCAUAAGGUGGCUAGCGGGUGUUUGUCUCUCCCACUUUAGUCGGAUCGGAUUUGAUGAAAAGCGUCCUUAUGAAGGGUAAAUAGAAAUUGGCAUAUCACGUUGUGGUUUUGGCAUAUGUAAGAAACGUUCUUGCUAGAACCCUAUAGCAGCCACGUAAAAACUCGCAACAACAAUUAGAGGACGUCUAACUUGUUUUUGCAGCAUAUGCCUUGUGAUGUGAUAUGGUCAAAAGGAUGUGAUGAAUGAAAUAUAUGUGAUGUAUGAGAUUGAUCAUGUUCUUGUAAUAGGAAUCACGACUUGCAUGUCGAUGAGUAUGACAACCGGCAGGAGCCAUAGGAGUUGUAUUUAUUUAUUGUAUGACCUGCGUGUCACUGAAUAACACCAUGUAAUUACUUUACUUCUUUGCUAAACCGUUAGCCAUAGUAGUAGAAGUAAUAGUUGGCGAACAACUUCAUGGAGACAAGAUGAUGAAGAUCAUGGUGUCAUGCCGGUGACGAUGAUGAUCAUGGUGCCCCAAAGAUGGAGAUCAAAGGAGCAAAAAUGAUAUUGGCCAUAUCAUGUCACUAUUUGAUUGCAUGUGAUGUUUAUCAUGUUUCUGCAUCUUAUUUGCUUAGAACGACGGUAGUAAAUAAGAUGAUCCUUCAUAACAAUUUCAAGAAAGUGUCCCCCCCUAACUGUGCGCCGUUGCGAAAGUUCAUUGUUUCGAAGCACCACGUGAUGAUCGGAUGUGAUAGAUCCUAAUGUUCACAUACAACGGGAAAAGAUGGUUAGGUGGUCGCAUGGCAUUGGAGAAGGGCGCGUGGUGGUGGAGGAGGAGGAGGAGGAGGAGGAGGAGCUCGGGCGGAGGAGGAGCUCGUCCACACCCGCGAGUAAGCCUCUCCUCGCCUCGCUGGGGAGACGAUGGUUAGGUGGUCGCCGCCGCCGCCGCGGGACGUCGAGCUUCUCCCCUCCCUGGGCGCCCACGACGCCGUCUCGCCGCAAGACCAAGGCGGUCAGCCAGGAGCCGGCCGCGGACGCCCAGGCCUCCGACGCCUUCGAGAGCCAGGGCGGCGAGGAAGGGGAGAAGGAAGGGGCGGCUCGCCGGAGCGAGGAGCAGGGGAGAGAGGAGAGAGAGUAGAGGAGCAAGGAGCAGGGGGCGGCGGGGCAUGCGGGAGAGAGAGGAGAGAGCUUUGUCUUCUUUUGCAUGCACAAUGUGGUGGGCCUAGCAAGGAAAAAGGAGGAGAGAGAGACUAGAGAGGCUGACAGUGGGCCUUUUGUAGUUAAACUAUAGCGCCGGCGCCCCCAGCUGCUCCCCGACGUGCUGGGUUUGCCUUGCGCGUGCCGGCCAUAACUUUCGUCAAAACCGGCGCAAAACUGGUUCCUGAGACCCGAGUGGGUCGUGUUUUGCCCGCCGGUGUCUAAAAAUGCGCCUGGGGAGGCUUCUUGAGGGCCUGGCUGGAGAUGCUCUAAAGGGAGAGAGGGGGAAUGAAGGAGAGGGAGAGGGGGAAGGAAAGCCCCCCCCUUCCUUGUCCUAUUCGGACUCAAGGGGAGGGGGCGCGUGGUCUGCCCUGGCCGGCCCCUCUCUCUCUCUCCACUAGGCCCCAUCGAGGCACAUUGGUUCCCCCGAGGGUUCCGGUUCCCCUGAUGUGCCUGUUGUUGUUGCAAACGUUACUAUCUUAACAGACUUUGUCAUUCUUGAUAUUCCUGAGGACGACAAUAUGUUGAUUAUCCUCGGUAGACCCUUUUUGAAUACUGCAGGAGUUGUUAUUGAUCGCAACAAAGGCAAUGUCACCUUUCAUGUUAAUGGAAAUGAGCACACAAUACAUUUUCGGAGGAAACAACCUCAAGUUCAUAGCUUAAAUUCUAUUGAGAAAAUUCCAUCAAUCAUUAUCGGAGGUUUUGAAUUUCCUUCCCUACUGUCAAGAAAAAGUAUGAUAUUCUUAUUAUUGGGGAUAUCCAUAUCCCCGUUGAGGUAACCUAGUGUCACUUCGAAAUUUCUCCGGUUCCGUGUUAUUCUGAAUGAGUUUGUUAACAAGACUUGAUCAACCUUGUUAGUGGAUUCAUUUUGAUGAUCAUGAGAUGGAUGAAACUAGAAGGCACAACCUUCUGUACCCUCUUUUUACUUUCUGUUAUUUAAAUUAAAUAAAGCAAAAAUAAUAUUAUUUGUCUGUUUUCUGAAUUAUCCAUGCAAUGAAAAAUAUCCCGAAAAUAAAAGUGCUCCAAAUGCCCUAUAAAUUUAGUAUGAUUUUUUAUGGAAUAUUUGAGGAUUUUAGGCACUGAAAUCACUGCAGGAGGGGCAAGCACCAGGCCACGAGAGUGGAGGGCGCGCCCACCCCUCUGGGCGCCCCCCUGUCUCGUGGCCCCCUGGUGGCCCCCCUCCACUUAUGCCAGCACCCACACACUCUAUCUUCUUCAAAAAAAAUCCCCAUCCAGCUCAAGCACGAGUUUUAGCUCAUUUUGCUGCGAUUUUCGAUCUCCUUGCUCAAAGCUCUAUUUACAAAACUGCUUUGGGAGAUUGUUGCUUGGUAUGUGACUUCUCCAUUGGUCCAAUUAGUUUUUGUUCUAGUGCUUUAUUCAUUGCAAAUCCUUGCUGUCUUCGUGACCCUGUUCUUGAGCUUGCAUGUUAAAUUUAUGAGGUCCCAAGUAACUCUGAUGCAUGAUGUAGGCUAUGGCACUUGUAGGAGUAGUUGCUAUUAAUCUUGUUUAGUUUUAUUCACUUUUAUUUUGAAGUUACUAAAAUUUCAGAAAUUUUCAGAAAAUGUUAAAGAGAUUUUUGAGGGGCUCUUCUAGCCAAGGCUACCAGGAUAAACAAGUUAAAAAGAAGGAAAAUGCCAAGUAUAAUCUUCCUCGCAUAGCGGAAGUACGGCCGUGUGAAUGGCCAUGCGAUGAUUAACCGGUGGCAGUACGAUGACACACCUCAGUACACCGGGGAGAGUAGCCGCUAUCCAUGGCCAUAAACCAACUUAGGCCAAAAUCCUAAGCUUGGGAGUACGUAUUUCACACCGACUUUACAUUCAUGUUCACACACUAUUCUAGUCGUCGGUGCUCAUACUCUUUCAUUGUAUUAUCUAUGCUAGUUUAAUUUUCUUUUUCUAGUUUUCUUCUUGUGUGUUUGAUAAACCUUAAGAAAAACCAAAAAAAUUAGUUAGUUUAAUUUCCAUGCUUGUAGUAGAAAUUAAAAUGAAAACCCAAAAAGAUUUCUCAUUCUUCUUUUACUUGUUGGGAGAUCUCCCGUGUAAAUAGUUUUAUUUUCUUUUCUUUCCUUUGAGGGGUUGAGAGCAGAAGACUAUAUUGAAAUUGUUUAGUGGCUCUCAUAUGCAUGAUUGUUUAUUUAACUUAGAGCCCAUAUUACUUUGUCUUCUCUCUUGAGUUGAAUGCUUGUAGAUUCCAGCUUAGUCCAAUGCACGUGCACUCUUAUUAUUAUACACAUCGUUCGGUCGUGCAAGUGAAAGGCAAUAAUGACGAUAUAUGAUGGACUGAUUGAGAUGAGAAAACCUGGUAUGAACUCGACCUCUCUUGUUUUUAUAAAUAUGAUGAGUUCAUCGUUCCUGAUUUAGCUUAUUAUGAAGUAAACAUAUUUGCAAUAACAUUUAAAGAUUAUAGUUGCUUGUGCCAUGCUUGAUUAGCUAUGGGUUAUAAUGGUUUACCUUGCGUGCCAACAUGCUAUUAGAAUGAUUAUGAUGUGGUAUGCUGAGAUGGUAUCCUUUUUUGAAUGAAUUGAGUGACUCGACUUGGCACAUGUGCAUGCAUGUAGUUGAAAUAAAAUCAACAUAGCCUUCACGAUAUUUAUGUUGAUGGUGGAUUAUAUCCUACUCAUGCUUGUACUCGGUGCGAAUUAAUUUUAAUGCAUGUUCAUGACUGUUGUCGCUCUCUCAGUUGGUCGCUUCCCAGUCUUUUGCUAGUCUUCACCUGUACUAAGCGGGAAUACUGCUUGUGCAUCCAAACUCCUUAAACCCCAAAGUUAUUCCAUAUGAGUUCACCGUACCUUCUUAUAUGCGGUAUCUACCUACCGUCCCAAGUAAAUUUGUAUGUGCCAAACUCUAAACCUUCAAAUGAAAUUCUGUUUGUAUGCUCGAGCAGCUCAUGUUUCAACUAGGGCUGCCUAUAUCCUCCAUGCUAGGUGGGUUAUUCUCAAGAGGAGUGGACUCCGCUCCUCAUUCACGAGAAAGGGCCGGUAAUCAGGAUGCCCAGUCCCAUGAUCCAAAAAUAUCAAAGCAAAUCAAUAUAAUUAAACAAAACUCCUCUAGGGCUGUUGUUAGUUGGAGGCACUCGUUGUUUCGAGCAAGCCAUGGAUUGAUGCUUGUUGGUGGUGGGGGAGUAUAAACUUUUACCAUUCUGCGUGGGAACUGCCUAUAAUGCAUGUAGUAUGGAAGAUACAACCAUCUCAUAGUUGUUGCGUUGACAAUGAAAGUAUGCCGCCCAAAAUAUUAUUCAAUCUCUAUUUUAAAAUCGAGCUCUGACACCUCUACAAAUCCCUACUUCCCUCUAUGAAGGGCCACUUUUAUGUUGAGUCAUCACCUUCUUAUUAAAAAGCACCCGCUGGAGAGCACACUGUCAUUUGCAUUCAUUAUUAUUGGUUUAUAUUGGGUAUGACUUGACUGGAUCUCUUUUACCAUGAAUUACAAUGUUUAGUUAGUCCUUGAUCUUUAAAGGUGCUCUGUAUUUAUGUUUUGCGGUCUCAGAAAGGGCUAGCGAGAUACCAUUUCGUUAUAUCAUGUUAUGAUUGUUUUGACAAAGUGUUGUCAUCCGAGUUUUAUUAUUAUGGAUCGCUAGCUGAUUAUGCCAUUGAUAUGAGUGAUUGUGAGACCUAAGUGUUAUUGUGAGUAUGGUUAGUUUAUAAUAUUUGCUGAAACCUGAAUGCUGGCUUUGCAUGUUUACAACAACAAGAGCAAAUAGAGUUUGUAAAAGUUUUUAUUUAUCGCUUUCAGUUUAUCAACUAAAUUGCUUGAGGACAAGCAAAGGUUUAAGCUUGGGGGAGUUUAUACGUCUCCAACGUAUCUACUUUUCCAAACACUUUUGCCCUUGUUUUGGAAUCUAACUUGCAUGAUUUGAAUGAAACUAACCCGGACUGACGCUGUUUUCAGCAGAAUUACCAUGAUGUUGUUUCAUGCGUAGAAAACAAAAGUUCUCGGAAUGACCUGAAAAUCCUCAGAGACAAGUUUCAGAAAAUAUAAAAAUACUGGCAAAAGAUGAAGACCAGGGGGCCCACACCUUGUCCACGAGGGUGGGGGCGCGCCCACCCCCUCUGGGCGCGCCCCCUGUCUCGUGGGCCCCCUGCAACUCCGCCGACCUCAACUCCAACUCCAUAUAUUCCGUCUCGCGGAGAAAAAAAUCAGAGAGGGCUGAUCUGGAGUUUUACGAUAUGGAGCCACCGCCAAGCCCUAAUCUCUCUCGGGAGGGAUGAUCUAGAGUCCGUUCGGGGCUCCGAAGAGGGGGAUUCGUCGCCGUCGUCAUCAUCAACCAUCCUCCAUCACCAAUUUCAUGAUGCUCACCGCCAUGCAUGAGUAAUUCCAUCGUAGGCUUGCUGGACGGUGAUGGGUUGGAUGAGAUUUACCAUGUAAUCAAGUUAGUUUUGUUAGGGUUUGAUCCCUAGUAUCCACUAUGUUCUGAGAUUGAUGUUGCUAUGACUUUGCUAUGCUUAAUGCUUGUCACUAGGGCCCGAGUGCCAUGAUUUCAGAUCUGAACCUAUUAUGUUUUCAUGAAUAUAUGUGUGUUCUUGAUCCUAUCUUGCAAGUAUUCAGUCACCUAUUAAGGACAGUAAAACUGAGCCUAAACCGAGCUCUCCCAGCGAUUAGCGUUUUAACAAUAACCGGGAUACUUCUCGGUGAUGACCGUAGUUUGAGGAGUUCAUGUAUUCACCAUGUGUUAAUGCUUUGGUCUGGUUAUCUAUUAAAAGGAGGCCUUAAUAUCCCUUAGUUUCCACUGAGGGUAGGACAAAAGAUGUCAUGCAAAUUCUUUUCCAUAAGCACGUAUGACUAUAUUCGGAAUACAUGCCUACAUUACAUUGAUGAAUUGGAGCUAGUUCUGUGUCACCCUAUGUUAUAGCUAUUACAUGAGGAAUCGCACCCGACAUAAUUAUCCAUCACUGAUCCAUUGCCUAUGAGCUUUUCACAUCUUGUGCUUUGCUUAUUUACUUUUCUGUUGCUAUUGUUACAAUCACUACAAAACUCAAAAAUACUAAUUUUGCUAUCGUUAUCAUUACUAUCAUACUACUUUGCUACUAAAUACCUUGCUGUAGACACUAAGCUAUCCAGGUGUGGUUGAAUUGACAACUCAACUGCUAAUACUCAAGAAUAUUCUUUGGCUCCUCUUGUGUCGAAUCAAUAAAUUUGGAUUGAAUACUCUACCCUCGAAAGCUGUUGCGAUCCCCUACACUUGUGGGUCAUCAUAGCGCGGGCAGGGAGAAGCACUACUACUAGUUACCAGUAGCGCUUCCCUGGGAAAGCGCUACUACUAAGUCGAUUUAGCAGCAGCGUGGGUUGAGGCACGCUACUGCUAACCUUUAGCUGUAGCGUCGUACCAGUAGCGCUCCAGCCCGCGCUACUGAUAGGCCUAAAACCCGCGCUGCUGCUAGGCUUUUCCCUAGUAGUGAUAUAGAGGUUCAUUUAGGUCCGACCACUUCCUUAAAUUCUCAUAUUUGAAGAGUUCAGAUUUGGGAGAGCAUUGGAGUGGUUAUAUGAUAGGGGGUUCGGCUAAGAGAUGCCCUUAACUAGCACAAUGCAAAUGUCAUUAUUAUUUUGGCGGAGAAUAUGUGAAUGUCAUCAUCGUCUCCGAGAUAGACAUUUGCUUGUUACUGGUUUAUUUGGAUUACUUACUACCUUCUAGUGUUUACAUGUGCUUAAGUAUUUGGAUUAUUGGCUCACCAAGUUCUCAGGUGUUAGAAUGACAAGAGGUUUUCAACAAAGACCAAACCAACAAAAUUUACAGCGAUAAUCAGACUGCACCUUCGCAAGGUACCCAAUUUUUUUGGCUAUUUCAUUAUUAUUUCUUUAGUCCACAAACCUUCUUUUUAUGUAAGUAAAUUUUCAGAUGCACUUUCAUAUAGUCUUUCAUGGAUGUAAUCCCUUUCUCUGUUUUCAAUAAAAUCGUAGUCCUAUUCGAAUCCAUGAAAAGAGACCCGGCAUGGAAGGAGUUGCAUGCUUCAGACAGCCUUAAUUUCAUACAGGAAAAGUUUAAAAAUGAAGCCUGCCCAUACCAGUUAUUAAGUUUGGGCAAUGCAUACAAUAAAAUGGGGCUUUAUUUGACCCAACUUUGGAGGCUUAAGGACGUGCGUGGAGGGGGACGAAACGUCCGCUUUAGCUGAUCGUUCCCACGGACGAUCAGUUCGCUGGGGAAUCGUAUUUCGCGCGUAAGUUGGUACGUACUCCCUCCGUUCCAAAAUAGAUGACCCAACUUUGUAUUAACUUUGAUCUAUUUUGGAACGAAGGGAGUAGCUACCAGUUUCGCGCGUAGUUCGCUGGGGAACACCCCUCCCACCCCCCCUUCUUAUGCGUAGUCCUCUUCUGUGUCGGCCCGUUCCGGGAUCUUCCCCCUACCAGUUUUGGGAAGGUUCUAGAAACUUCCAUAAACCGUUUUUCCUUUUUUAUAUUGUUUUUUCUUUCCUUUUCUUUUUUCCUUUUUCCUUUUUCCUUUUCCGGGUCACGGACAUCUUUUCAAAUUCAUGACUAUUUUUCAAAAUCAUGAUUUUUUUUUGAAUUCAUGAACAUAUUUUUAAAUUGUGAACCUUUUUUAAUUCACGAACAUUUUUUAUGAAACUAUGACGAUUUUUCAAAUUGAGGAACAUUUUUUAUCUUCCGCGAACACAUUUUUUUGUAAUUCAUGAACAUUAUUUUGAACCGGAGAACAUUUUUUGAAUCAAUGAACAUUUUGUUGAAUCGGCGAACUUGUUUUGAAUUAAUGAGCACUUUUAGAAUCAUUGAACAUUUUUUGAAAUCAUGAUAAUUGUUUUUGGGAACAUUUAAAAAUUCAUGAACUUUUUUUGAAUUCACAAAUUUUUAUUUCAAAUUCACGAAGAUUUUUUCAAAAUUAUGAAGAUUCAUUUUUAAAAAUUGCAACUUUUUAAAAAGCCCAAGGUAUUUUAAAGAAGAUGAAAAAAGAAAAAACAAAAAACCAAAUGAAAAAAUAGGAGGGGCAUCCCGGCCCGCUCAUGGGCCGGCCAAAUAGGGGUGCGCAUGAGGGGAGGACGUGCACGCUGGCUCAUUCGCUAGCGCGUCAUGCGCGUCCCCUCCCCUGAGAACGAUCGUCAGUUAUUAGGUUCCAUAUCAAAAACCUAUAUUACGAUGUUUGGACAUUCGUCUACGUAAAAAAAACAAAUUUUCUUUAGCAGAGCAUGUACAAACUUGCUCCUAAAUGCUUUAUACAUAUCCUCCAUUCCGAAUUACUUGUCUUGGAUUUUUUUAGGGGUAACUAGGGCUUUAUUGAAAAUUGAAAAUUCAAAAUUCAAAACAUACCGACCAACAGAAAAUGGAAGAAGCUCUCUUCUUGAUGUUGCUCGAAGCAGAAAGAAACAUUAUCAAAAGAUCUACUACUAAACUGAAUAUCUCGCGAGAUCAUAGCAUAUGGUGAAACAGCUCCCUUCUUGAUGUUGCCGACGACUUUCCAAACAGUCUUAGGCGAUGAUCAUUUAAUGUGGAUUAAGGUCGUGUGGAAGGGAAAAUGCCUCUUUCCAAACAGUCUUAGGCGAUGAGAAGAAGAUCGCAGCCAAAGUGGAUCACCUCAAGAGGACGUUAGGGUGGUCGGACGCCGAGGUGAGCAUUGCUCUGCCUAAGGCCCCGUAUUUGCUCGCCAAGUCGAACGAAUCGCUGCAAUACAGCUCCGAGUUCCUCAUCUCUGAGGUGGGGUUGGAACCGGCUUGCUCAGCGGUCAGUAAUCCUCUGUUACAGCCUAGAGGGCCGGAUGAGACCUCGGUACUAUGUUGUGAAGUUUCUCAAGGAAAAUGGGACGACGCGACAUAGGUGUGCGGACGAGCUCAACGGUGGUAUGCCGGCAGCAGCUUGAGUUUAAGCUGCAGCGUGUGGCUGUACAAUGCUAUAUUCGUUGAGGACAAGAUACAAAUUACAUGAUGUGAAACACAUCAUAGCUUGUGUUCAUAUGGAACUUAGGUUGGGGAAUCCUAAAUAAUUGUAGAUCUAAUAAGGUCAUGUGAUCGUUAAGAUCGAAUGACCUUCCUUUCUUGCUUCUUGAUGAUUUCUAGUGACCGAAACUUCGUACCAGGUGUAGAAAUGAAGUAUGUCUACCAGAGGGGGGAUGGUGAACAAGUAAUGCUAACUCUUCAUUCAGAGAUAAAUCUCUCGCAGCGAAGAAGAUCACAGUCUCUUGCUGAGAAGUAUUUUCUCGGGACACAAAAAUAUUUCUCUCUCAACUCACAUAGGAUUGGGUUUAGCAUUUAAAUUUGUUAAUUGUCUUAAGAAAAGUUACAUCAAAACCAGGAUUUCAGUUGGCCAUGCAUGCUAUAAUAGGGUUGAACCCUCUAAAGCUUGCGAACUUACGGUGCCAACUCACAUACAAAGACUCACUUUGUAGAUCACAACGUUUACAUUUGCAUUCUCUCUCUUUAAUAACCUCCAACCAAACAAGCCAGAGAGGAAAAUACCAAAUCUUUGUAACUUAUUAAGACAUUAUUGGUCUGCGUGCAUUGAUGAAACAUAGGCAAUAGUGCAUCUUUAUAAAUUACAAACGAUGGAGCAAGUGUAUGAGUUUCUUUUUUGGCAAGCAUGGACUGAAAUGUACCCGAUGAACAUAGCCAGUUCAGUGACCAUGCUCUAGCAUGGCCUUUUGAUCUCUCCAUGCAUGUUGAAGCUAGCUAAGUACGUAGGAUUGAGAGGCAACCGGGAGCAAACACACACUUUCAUGGAAGGGAUAACCUCAUUCUCUAGAUAGCUAAUCAGCCUUGUGAUGAGAAGAAGUUAUGUGGGCUAGUCCAUUCCAUCAUUUGCCUGUAGACAUCCCCAUCCUUUCUUUACAAGUACCACCGCUUCUCAUGUUGACCAAGGUCAACGCCACGUGUCUCUGGCAACUUCGUCUAGGUGAUUCUCAGCCAGCUCAUUGCGAUGCCUGUUCUCCGUGGUGAGUUGACUACUAGUGCAGUUGCAUGUGGCGCUGGCAGUUUAAAUCAGUAAUGACCAUCUUCUCCUUCACUGGAUCCUCGCAAUGAAAAUAUCUGAUACAUGUACGCAACACUUCUGUUGGUCUAGCAGGUUUCCCAUGUGUCAGUUCAUUGUGAAUGUGCCAAGUCCUCCAACGAGUCUUGAGCAGCUUCAUGCGCCCCAUCUCCGACUGUGUGGGCUGUAAUUUGAAACUUUAAUGGCCUUUUCUUAUUAGGACUUGCUUAUAUGUUCUUGUGGAGAUGAUGCUACUUGCUUAUAGUAGUACAUACGUUUCCCGAAGUCUAGAUAAAUAUACACAAAACAUGUUAUGUAAAGAGAUGCAUGCAACAAUUGCACAUACGCACGUGGAGCUCUGCACGCAUGUCGCGCUAAGAGCAACUCCAACGCGCCGACCCAUUUUGUGGCGACUUCUCUUCUCUCUCUAUCAACUAAGCAAAAAUAUAUUACUUAAAGUCGUAUAACCCGCCUAUAUGCCCUUAUUGAAGUUUGGUCGCUCCCAACUACCGUUACUUCUGCUUACUAAUUACUUGAUGCUCAUAUAUGUGCACACAGUCAGAUCGAGUAGGUGUCAUGCUCACUUUUCGUUAGCAAAGAUUUAGCUGAGUUUGGGCUUUCACUUGGAUUUAUGUGUGGUCACGUUCUGUAUUCCCAGCUGGCAUCCUUUCUGUAGCUUUGUUCUUGAUACUGUUUUUUUUAUUUUCAUGGAGGCGAUGGUUGAGGUCUUGAGGAGGUCGCUUAUGGACUAUGUGCGGGGGUUGCACCCUUUUCUUCAAUCUACAAAGUUCACAUGAUGCAAUCCUCCUGCAUGGUUUAAAAAAAAAAGAACAGAUCCUCACAGAGAUGGAGAGCUCAGAGAGGAGGGCGAUUGGAGAAAGAAGGCAAGUAAUGGAUGAAGUUGUUUUGAAAAUCUAGCGGAGAAAAACUGGAAGAUUUUUUUUUUGAGUGAUGCAAGGCACACACAUGAACUACCUAAAAUGAAUCAAAUGAUCAUGGCUAGGCUAGCUCAUAGAUCAUGCACGCUGUAUCCAUGCAUGCAUGUUAGGACAAAGCUAGCUAGGCUUGAGAGGCAACCAAAUAACUAAGGCAUGCUAAGACGUUACAAGUGUAGGUACGUCCUUUUUAUGCCACGGGUAGGUACACCCUCUUAUCUAGCACCGCACAAGACGUUACAAGUGUGUUCAUACACAUCUGGUGUAGAUGUACUUUUUGAUUUCAGAGAGUUUAGUUUUGGUUUUGCACCAGUGUAAUUGUCAGAUUGACAGCUAAUUUAUGCGCAAAGGAAAAGAUUGACAGCCAAUUCUCAAGCGACUGAGAGUUAGCAAAUCUAUAUUUCUUUUUCUUUUGACCGGAAGAAACAUCUUUGUUGAUUAUAAACACAGGAAUCUUUUACAACAAUGCAGAAUCUUAGAUACCCACAAAAUUGGAAAUGUGUUUACUCGCUUGCUUUGGCAUGCAUGCGUGUGCCUCUCUCUCUGUGUGUGUGUGUGUGUGACUUACUUUAUCAGAAUUCGAGGUCAAAUAUACGCGAAAAAUUAUACAUAGGGAGAUGCAUGUCACAGUUGUGCACGCAUUGAAGAAGCCAGACCCAUGUGUUGUCCUACUGAAGUUUGAUUGCUUCCAACUUGAACUACUUGUACUGCUGCUUACUAAUUACAUGAAGCGCAUCAGGUAUAUAAGCAUAGAGUCAGAUUGUGUGGAAGAUCAUAUACAGCAGAUAACAUACAUCACUCGAGUCUGACUGUCUGAAGGUUACUUCUUAGCCUUCUUACCUACGCUAACAUCAAAAUAGCUCUACUUUACACUCAUGUUCGUGGUUUCAUCACAUUCUGGCUACUGGGUUGGGGCUUGGGAGGCACCCGGAAUUCAGGGUAUACCGUGAGAUCCGUCGGAUGUGGUCGUUCGCUGUUGCUAUGCUUCGUUGGAAAUACAGGAGUUACCCGUACCAUGGAUGGCCACAUUGUCGGCUGGACUUCACGCCUAUGAAGUCCCGAUGAAGGCUGUCGACACGCCUGGCAUGUAGAUUCUGCCACGAUGAUACGGCACCACGACUUAGUGAUAGCAUGUAAGAUGAAACUUUUUCGAGCAUGUUCGGCAGUUCUCCACAAUCAGUUAUGUAGCACAGUCCAAAACUGACAAGCAAACAGAGUGACCACGACCAUGAGGGCUAUCAGAUGAUCAAAAUACAAAGGCUGAUGUACGUUUGAGCACACAUAUAUCAGUCAAAGUGGUCAGCCAUCCUCCAAGCGCCGCUUCAUGCGCAGAUAAAUUGCAGGUCCAAAACUGCUGACUACACACCAGAAAAGCAUCUUAGCUGUGUCAUAAUUAAAGGAUAUAUAUUACAUAUAUAUUCCAUGCAACAUCAGUUAUAACUUACAAGUGUUUUUUCACUGAUCCCAUGGGUAGUAAGUAGUAACCAUAUAAUUUGGCAUGCUAACAAGAGGUCACAAAAAAGUUAGCUGUAACGCAUUGUCACAAGAUAUAUGAGAACUUAAAGCCAAAUGUAGUUCAACAAAACAAAUGCAGUGUAUUGUCACAAAAAGUUAGUAUCAUGGCACACUACUAGAACUCGAUCAAGCGCGCUACACUGGCUGCGACAAAGGUCCGGUCAGAUAUCAGGAAAAACAUCUUAACUGCAUCACAGAAGAUGUAUAUUUAUUUUCACCAAGCAUCAGUUAUAAGUCUACUCUUACCCAUCGCAAUUUGGUAUGCCAAUACAAGGUCGAAUAAAAAAAGGUAGUUAACAUAAGUCAUUGGUACGAAAUAAAUCAGAGACAGUGUAGGUGCAACUGUACAGAAGACAUUAAUUCACUUAUUAACAUAGAAUUAGCUACUAAUUUGUACUAUACAGUAUGCUGGCAUCCAGUGAUAUAAAAAUCAAUAUUGGUAAAGAGUCAAUAUUUGAUCUUAUGCUCUAACAUUAUGACAGAUCAGAUGCAGUAUUGUCAUGUAUACUUAUUAUGCUCUGAAUCAUUUUUUUCAUGACAUAAAUGAAUAUUAGCCCCAACAAAAAAUAUUCUUAUCAGUGAUUUGGUUCUGGGGCAAAUGAAAAUCUUUCCACAUUAUAAGGGCAAAAGAAAUUCAAUACAUACUUAAAAUUAUACAAAAGAAAUUCAGCACCUAGUAAAAGGGAUGUUUACUUGUCAUGACUCAUGAGGAUGUGCAGGUGCAUGGCCUCAGAUUCCAAAAAUCACACACAUAAUCAAAAUGCUAAUAUAGCAAGGGAGGACGGUCUUGCAAGACAAACAAGUAGCCUGCGAUAGAAAAUGUAAAUGAUUGUCCACAACUUACUGUUGAUUCCUAAUAGCUCAGCUGCAUGAUUACUUAUUGAAUCAAUGGAACACUACCCAAAGCUCUCAAGCACUAUAGUGGAUCAACCAACAAGGCAACAACCAUAUACAGAGAAGGGAUUUUGCAGAAUUCAAGCAGUAUGAUAUGAUUUUGCUGUCAUCUCAUAAGCAAACAAAUUAUCAUCAGAAAGUGUCGAGUUAAGAAGCACAUUCACGACUAAAUGAGAACAGGAGUUCAGAGGCCAACAACCAUGGAAGAAAAACAAUGUACCGAAAAAUUGUUCAAAAUAUGUUCAGUGAUCAGUUCUCGGGACAGUAAAAUUCUGAAUAACGUCCAGUAUCACAUCUGUUAAUGCCUAGCUCUGGUUUGCAUAAAGCAUUGCCUGUAAGUAAUACUUGAGAUCAAUCUAGGCAGAUUGGAUACUACAGUAAAGAGGUAAAAAUUCUAACCAUUUGCUACAAUUAGAACAAGUAACCAACAAACUGGGCCAAAACUGCCUCCACGGAUUGAUCAACAUACUGUGAUUAUCAGCAAGUCCAAAAUAGUUUCUCACAAAAAAUAUUGUCUAGAAUUGUCAUUCAAAGGAAAUUUUAUGUUGACAUGGACAUAUCAGUACUCAUGAAUCUAAUUACUAGCUUCAUCAAUCGUUAGCAAUGACCAAACUAGCAUGUCACACUCAUACUAUACCAGAGGUCAGCAUCUUGUUAGGCAAGCACACUGAAAUAAAGGUUGCAAACUUACUGCACCAAGCAAAUCAUUGCGUUGCAGUAAGGAUUUUAGAUAUUUAAUUGCCUUAUGACCACCAAGGAUCGCUUCUUGUCAGCUUGCUGCUUCAUGCACUGCCUUGCUCGGUGCAGAUGUUGUUGGAGCAGAUCUUGCACAACGGCGCGUUCAUCCAGCCAGGAGCGAAGGGCCGGAACUGAACAAGCCGUCGCUGUUGUAAUCCCCCAUUGUCGUGGCUCAUGCCCAUACAUUGCACGAAACGGUGACAUCCCAAUGACAGAGUGAUGCGACGAGUUGUACCAGAAUUGUGCAAGUGGAAUCUAAUAGCUCUAUCGACGAGGACACGCUUGCGUGAAGCAUCGGAGGAAAGUUUCGAGGCACUGGUUGACUCUCUCCGUCUGGCCAUCCGUCUGUGGGUGGUUGGCCGAACUCAUUCUGAGACCGGUGCCCGCAUACUUGAAGAGCUCUUGCCAAAAAUGGCUCGUGAACACCGGAUCACGGUCAGACACAAUCGAUCCUGGGAAUCCAUGCAGCCUGUAGACUUGGUUCAUGUAGAGUAGUGCUACCUUGGAGGCUGUAUAGGGGUGUGCCAGGGGGCAGAAAGUGAGAAAAUUUUGUCAGCUUAUCAACGAUCACCAAGAUGCAGUUCGCACCACCAGAAGUUGGAAGCCCAUCAAUGAAAUCCAUUGUGAUCAUCUCCCAAGAUUCCUUGGGCAUGGGUAAAGGUUCAAGCAGCCUCGGGUAAGUAGCUCGAUCCAGCUUGGCUUGCUGGCAAGUAGGGCAGCAACGCACAUAACGUUGAAUUUGUGUUUUCAUUUUGGCCCAAGCGAAGAGACGGCGUACCCGGCGCCAUGUUACUAGGAAGCCGGAGUGUCCUCCGAGAGGUGUAUCAUGAAACGCCUUGAUCCCUUGUUGUUGCAUUGCUGUGCUGCCACCCAACCAAAUGCGUCCUCUGAAGCGUAAGAUGCCUUAUUCCAGGGUGAAACGCUUCUUUGGAUAUGCUCUAGUGGCCAAUUGUUCCAGCAGUUUCUGGGUUUGCGGGUUUGAGUUAUAGCUGGCAAUGAUGUCCUCCAUCCAGCUAGGCUAACAAGAUGAUACCGCUUGUAGUUGCUCCGUGUGGGUGGCACGGCAAAGAGCAUCCGCACCCCCAUUUUCUGUCCCUUUUAUGUACUUGAUAGUGUAGCGAGAUUAGAUUCAACAGAAGUUAGGGCUCUGUCAUGUGCGCCACCGCACGCAAGUCUUCAGUGCAUCGAUCCGAGGACGGAUAGAUUUUUUGCUACGGUCAAACCGACUUGAAUACGAUAAAACUCUUUUUUCUGCUAUACUUGGCGUUUUUAGCUUUGAGAAGAUUGCCACCUGGCCCAAGGCGUCGAUCUGCUAGCCGCAAGUUGCUGAUGCUGUUGCCUGUGCUCGUGGCUGUUGCUAAACUCCCGAUUAAAAAAAAAAGGGAUUUGUGACACCGCCGCGGUCUCUGCUAGCGCUGCAGCUGCGACUACGCCUCGAGCCACCUGGUUCGCCUCCGCCGUCGACUCAUCAGCGCUCGCUUGCUGUUGCACUCCGGAUUACUGCACUUGUUGUGCCUCCAUCACCGCCGGGUCGUGCUUCCAUCGCUGAGAUGCCAUGUUUUCUGCUCAUGUGUUGUGGUACCGCCUGAGCGCUGCGGGCCGUUUAUUGACCCGCCGCUUCUAUCCUGAACUCUUGAUAUGGACCAAGAGUUCAACAUGACAAACUGCAAAAGGAACGACACUAUUUAUUUACCAGUGUUGCCUUCUACGUAUUUUGGAGAAGCAGCAGCACAUUGCAUGGGAUAUUGAAUAGCACUUCUAUCCUGAACAAUGCAAGCUUGAAGGCUUGGUUGACUACCAGCCGUUAAAGGAAUGAAGGAGGAUCAAGUUAUUAGUCCAGCCGCUUACAAACAGCAGACUAAACCGGCAUUGUUUCCGGUUUACUAUGCCUGCCGGUUCAUCUCUAUAGUCGCCUCAUUAUCAUAAUUGGCUUGACAUCCCAGUAUUGAACACCCAAAAGGAAGGGAUUGCUGAUCCUGGGAGUACCAUGUUUACGCUGGAUGGUUACAACAUUACCAGAUUAUCCAAGGACGGUAUAUACGGAUUAUUGGUCAGCCGAACAAAUCAGGUGAUAUCUAUCCAUUUAAGUUCAUUUUAUUAAACAUAUUGUUUACAUCAAAGAACAAUUACACUGGUCUAUGUUAUUUUUUCGCAGGACCAUUAUUUAUUACAAAGGUGUCGCAAAAGAGCGUGCGCCAAUAUGAAUUUUGCGCUAGCGUGUUCGUGCCGUGUUCUGGACGGAUGCGUGAGCAAGUCGCCGCCCUCGCUACAUCAACACACGCAACGGACUCAUCGUCCGCUCCCGUGGCCGACUCACUUGCGUCCUUGCCGUUUCCAACACCGCGGCCGACUCGCCCGCGUCCUUGCCGUUUCCACCGCUGCGGCCGACUCUUUUGUCCGCGCCGGCUUACAACGCCGGUGGCGACCUUCCCCGGACGCACCAGCUAAUAAAAACUGCGGCCGGUUCACCCGUGAGUGAUUUCAGUUUCACCAUAAGAUGUCAUCAACUCCAGCCUAACAUAUCAGGUGAUAUCCAUCUAAGAUUAUUUUAUUAGCGCAUAUUGUUUUUUGUCAAAAAUAAUCACUUUGGUAUGUACACCUUUAUGUGCAGGACAAUGAUUCAUCAUAAAGAUGGUGUAAAGCCAUAUUCAUGGAGUGUGCGGUAGCAUAAUCAUGCAACGGCAUCGGCGACCGCUUACUGUUCAACAGGUGGGUGCAAGUCGCCGCCCCUGUAGCCGAUUCACACGUCUGUGCCGGCUUACAAUGUGACGGGCGACUUACCCGUCCACCCCCGUGGCCGACUCGGCGUCCGAGUGGCUUACUGCUCCUGCAGUUGACUUGCUCGUCCGCACCAGCUUACAACACCGCGGCCGACUCAUCUGUCCGCUUCUGUGGCCGACUCACCCGUCAUUGAUUUCAACCUUACCGCAGUGAUCAUCAACUCCGCGACGGAUUAAUUCCGGUUCAACACAUCAGGUGAAAUCCAUCCAGUAUAUUUUAUAUUAUCUAUUGCUUUCUUUAAAAGAGCAAUUACUCUGGCUUGCAAGUUCUCCAGUGCAGGACAAAUUAUGUCACUGAGAUGUUGAAUGACUCGUACCGGUUUAUAUUACGGUCAAAUAUGGAGAGUCUCAAGCCAACUCCUCGAGUAGUCUUAAAACUCGGGGGCUACAGUGACAUGACUCGGGACUCCGGGUCAUGGGAGGGGAUGAUAACCCGGUUUCAGAGGACACUACCAUACUGGUGAAAAUUCCAGUUUAAAAUCCGGUUCAAGAGACAUCUUUCUCCCGCAAAGCUUUGAAGCUCUCAAAACCGGUUCAACAUCCGGAUCAAGGUAAAAUUGUCCCUUACAAAGCUUUGAGGAUCUCAAUAUCCGGUUUAGGAAAUUCCGGUUCAAAACAUGGGUAUCCUGCUUUACGGCUUAUCUUAUUAUGGUCACUUGGGGGCUUCCUGCUCAUCGGGCAUAGCCAUCAGUACCCUCUUGAUCGGCGCAAUGCCAAAAUUUAUACGGUCACUUGGGGGCUUCCUGUUCAAACAUAGGUCGUAUUCGAACCAAAAAGAACAUAGCUGUCGAUACCCUUUUGAUUAGCAAACUGCUGAACCUACUUGGGGGCUUCUUGAUCGUAUCCGAAUCAUAGCUCAACCCCUUUGGGAAUUGACGUGGAUCAUAUUCGAAUCAGCAUCGUUAAACAACUCUUAUGGUCACUUGGGGGCUUCCUGUUCAAACAUAAGUCGUAUUCGAACCAAAGAGAACAUAGUUGUCGAUACCCACUUGAUCGGCAUCGCCAAGCCACUGGGGGCUAUAUGAUCGUAUUCGAAUCUUAGCUUAACCCCUUGGGAACGGUUUACUGAUUGUAUCCGAAUCAGAAGCCUCAAAAAUUUUUAUUCUAUCUCUGGUAAAGUUUAUUGUAGCCACAAUUACUUAACUUGAGACCUUUUGGGGAUUAUAUCUCAAAUGUAUAUAAGUGUUUUAUGAUUAACCCGGCUUGACUUUUGACUAUAAGUCGCCAGCUUAUGACAACCAUCAUUGAUAUGGAAGCAUUGGCUUCUAAGGAUUGGGUUAUCACCCUUAUUACACAGGUCAUGUAAACCGGCAGUACAAAUUCAAUAUCACAAUGAUCAUUUGGGGGUUUUCCUGUUCAAACAUAGGUCGUAUUCGAACCAAAGAGAACAUAACUGUUGAUACCCACUUUGAUCGGCAUAACCAACGCCACUGGGGGCUAUAUAAUCGUAUUCGAAUCUUAGCUUAACCCCUUUGGAACAGUUUACUGAUCGUAUUCGAAUCAGAAGCCUCAAAAUUUUAUCUGUUUUUAUACAAUCACAAGUAUUUGGGUUGUCACAAAUAUCAUAUGUGCCGUCUCUUACAGACUUGACUUCACUGUCCGGGUCACAUAAGCCGGCAGUAUCAUUCAAAGGAUCAUAGGGAUCUUGUGAUCUACUUGUGUGCAGGAUAAGACUACAUUUGGGUGGUUACCCGUCCUAGCUUUUUGACAUUAAGUCACCAGGGCAUACUCUUUGCAGGAUUUGUAGGAAUAUGACAUGUAAAUGAUUAAGUUCAAGCUCAUUACCAAACUUGAUGCUUCAAAAUAAUUAUCCGUUCUGGAUUUUUCUCAAAGGCUAUAAGCCACCGGGUUACAAAAAUUCUGGCUUACAAUGAAUGUGCAUUAAAGUCGUCAUCGGCCAAGAGCCGCCAGGUAUUUAGACUCCGGAUUUACUUGUCGACCGAUGAGGUAUUCAAAUCUUUAAUAGCCAAAACUGGCUGAAUUUUCAUGAUGAUAUUGAAUGAUUGAGGUUUUCAUACCGGAUUAUAUUAUUCAAAUCUCGAAUAGCCAACAUGGCUGGAUUUCUAUUGUGAUUAUCAAUAACCAGUGUUAUGAUUGAGGUUUUCAAAGUCGCUUUAGCGCAACGGCUAUCAUUUUUAUCAAUGGAUAUGAUAUAUUCUACAAUGGAAAGAAUAGUCCCGAGUCGCUUCAGGCUUACGACCCGGCACUUGGGGGCUAUAUUAUUCAGAUUGGGAUUAUAUGAAAUUUCAAGUCCCAUGUCACUGCCAGCAUGCACCAUGGCACUUGGGGGCUAAUGCAAAGUCACUUUUUGCUCAACUUAUUGAAGACCCGACUCAUCAUAUUCUAAAUGAGCCGGCCCUUGGGGGCUACCAAUUGCUCCUCUCAAAAAUUCAAGGUACACAAGCAUUAAUCCAUUAUAUUGAACGGUUCACUAUUCAGUUGGUGGAGUAUAAAGCUCUUAACCUUGUGGACGUGGGUUCAAACCCCAUGGUGGAGAUUACAUCAUAUGAUGUUAUUAUCAAUUAUAUGCAAAGUCCCAGCUCAGUAUUAUCUUACUAAGCCGGCCCUUGGGGGCUACACGUUGCUGUUCAAUUAUACAUGAUCAUAUCUACAAAGUCCCUGCUCAUUAUUGCAUAACGACCCGACACUUGGGGGCUACAAGUAAUAUGGAUAUAAGGGAGAAAUAUCUUCCAAUCUUCACUUUUUUAGUUUUGAGCAAACCAGAUUGACCCGGCAUCACCAAUCAUUAUGACCCGGUGUCUGCAACAAUCAUAACCUGGCAUCAUCAAUAAUCAUGAACCGUCAUUGGUAACAAUCAUGAACCAGCGUUGGAAACAAUCAUGACCAGGAAUUAUCAGUUUUUAUAGCCCGGUGAUUUUGGAAAUUAUAGAUCGGCAAGUUCUAUAUUUUCAAACCGGCUGAAUAUCAGAUGAGUAUUUCAAGACCAAUAUUUUUUAAGCCGACACUUUGGAAGCCGACUCAAAUGGAUUAUUUGUUUACAAUAUUUCUUCUACAAGCAAAUUGAUUGUGAAGCUGGUCUAUUGACCCAGAUUUUCUAGAAGAAGGAAAUGACAAGGACUUAAGGAUGUUCAGGUGCCGGUUUACAAGAAUUAUUAACCCGGAGCACAACCUGUCAAAUUUUUUCUUGUGUUUAUUUUGCAGCAUAAGUUUACCAUGGAUAAAUCCAAGCUAAACUUGGGGGCUAAUGUCGGGGAUAUACCCCGCGGUGUAACCCGGCCAGAAGUAUAACCCGGCCGGACUUGGCGACUCACUAAUGACCCGCCCUGACUGGACAGCACACUAAGUGACCCGCCCGAUCCUGGCGGCUUAUGGGUGACCUGGCAAGCGGAUCAGAGAAGCGACAAGACCUGGGGCCCCAGGAGGCUCAAGGCCCAGAAUGCCGGCUUACGUUAUGAUAGGCCGCCUUAAGAGGAAAGGCGUGAGGAGUAUCUCCCUUACAAGGAAUCAAGACCCGGACUUGUAUCCGGCUUGUAGUACAAGAUAGGCUAGUCCUACUAGGACUCCACAUGUAACCCGCCCCUCUAAACUUAUAUAAGGAGGGGCAGGGCUUCCCAAAGAGGGGGGGAAAAGAAGAACAAUAAUCUCUAGGGCUAGACACCACUAAACGGGGGAGCCGGCUUAUGCGGCGACUCUCUCGAUGAGCAUAAUGAGACCUAGCCUCAAACAACAUGUAGGGCUAUUCCAGAUGAUGUUUCCCGGGGUCCGAAGCUGUCUAAAUCCUUGUCUUGCGUGUUGCGUCUCUCAUCCCGAUCAACCCCUCUCAAGCUACCACAUAGAUGUGUUGGCCUCGCGACUAAGUCUUUGAGAAAUCCGGCAAGGCAAGGACAGGAGCAGUAACAAGGCCUUGUUUCAGCAGUUGAAAUGAUUCCUUGGUCGCGUGCGUCCAGACAGACGGGGUCCCUUUCUUGAGUAGGUUGAACAUUGGCCACGCCACAAUACCAAAGUGUCGUACAAACCGGCGGUAGUAUCCUGCCAGGCCCAGGAAACGCCUGACCUCCUUGACAUCCACUGGAGCAGGCCACUGAGCUACCGCCUGCACCUUGCUUGGUUCCGUGGCCACGCCUUUUCGCUGAUCACGUGGCCCAGAUAAGAUAACUGGCGUUGGCCAAAACAACAUUUCGAAGCACUGACCUUCCAUUGGUCGCGGCGCAGCAGCUGCAAAACUUGCUCGAGAUGGACAGCAUGGUCUUCCAGAGUAUGACUGAAGACGAGUAUGUCGUCAAAGAACAGCAGUACACACUUGCGUACGAGAGGGUGCAAGGUGUCAGUAACAGCCCCGAUGAACAUCGCCGGUCCUCCUGCCAAUCCAAAUGAGAGCACCAAGAACUCAAAGUGUCUGGAGUGAGUGGAGAAGGCUAUUUUGUAUUCUUCUGAAAGUGCGUUAUAUCGACUAGAUGGGGGGUGAAUAGGCGAUUUUUAUGAAUUCUUCACUGAGGAAUUUGCCGGUGAGGAAAUUUCUUAGCGAAGAACUACUAGCAGCGGAAUAAGUACUAGAAGUAAGCAUAACAGGAUACAAACAUAGUCAUCAUGAUGAAAUGAAGACAAGCACAGAGUACAUGAAACGUAAACACAUGAUAACACAAGAUGAAGACAAUCAGACUGAAGAAAUUGAACAGAGGAAAUUGAGAAAGUCUUCAGUCAAAGUCUUCAAACACAGAUAUGAACAAUAACUCAACACAGUAAUGAGGAAAUGAAAGAGUUGAGGAAAUAGAACCAGUAAGGUUGGUGAAGACAAUGAUUUGGUAGACCAGUUCCAACUGCUGCCUUAGUUGUACGUCUGGUUGGAGCGGCUGAGUAUUUAAACUCGAGGACACACAGUCCCGGACACCCAGUCGUUGAGCACGCAGCUCAGGACACCAAGUCCUCACCGUAUUCUCCUUGAACUAAGGUCACACAGACCUCGUCCAAUCACUUGUGGUAAGUCUUUAGGCGACUUCCAAACUUUCACAGACUCGGUCACUCGGUGAUCCACAAUUCCUCUUGGAUGCUCUAGACCAUGACGCCUAACCGUCUGGAAGAAGCACAGUCUUCAAAGGUAACAAGCAUCAGAUCCACGCAGGAUCAAUCUCUUCAGUGAUGCUCAAUCACUUUGGGGUUUGUAGGUGUUUGGGUUUGGUUUUUUCCUCACUCGAUGAUUGUCGCUCAAAGUCCUCGGAGGAUGGGUUGCCCUCAAAUGACAAGUUUCAGUUUCUCUCAGAGCAGCCAACCAGCUAGUGGUUGUAGGGGGCGGCUAUUUAUAGCCUAGGGAGCAGCCCGACAUGAUAAUACAUAAAUGCCCUUGUCUGAUAUGACCGUUAGGUGGAUAAGAUAUUUUGGGACAGCUGGCACGUAGCACAGCAAUGGUAGGAAAUUUGACUAUCAAAUUCAUCAGGGCUAUCAUGUUCCUCACUGUGUAGGCAAUCCGCACUGGCGAAUUCCUAACUCCUCAGUCAGAACAAAUUCCUCAGCGACUAGAAGAACUUCGUCUCUGUCACUGAAGAAAUUGACUGAACUGUAUGAGAUUUCCAAAGGCUUCACUCGAAGGGUUUGGUAGGUGUAGGAUUUUGAGUUGAGCAUCACAUGGAAAAUUUUCCUUAGUAUUUCCUCGACCCCCUUUAACAGUACGGUGUUUCCUAUGACUCAAGAAAGAGAAAAACAAAACUAUGAAAACGAAAGUCUUCAAGCUUCAUAUUCCUCGCAUGAAUAUCAAGUCUUCACGGAUACACCAAUUUCUUCACUUUCAAAGUCUUCAUGAAAGUCUUCAGGAAUACCAAAAUCUUCAGUCAAAAAUAUUCAUUUUUAGGGGUCGACUUUCCCUGUAAAUAUCAAACUCCUCAUAAACUUAUAGACCUGUGUACACUCAGAAACACAUUAGUCCCUUAACCUAUAAGUCUUCAAUACACCAAAAUCACUAAGGGGCACUAGAUGCACUUACAAUCUCCCCCUUUUUGGUGAUUGAUGACAAUAUAGGUUAAGUUUUCAACGGAGAUAAACAUAUGAAGUGUAAGUACUGAUAUUGAGGAAUUUGAUUGCAAGAUAUAGAAGAACUCCUCCUGAAGAUGUGCAUAGUGAGGAAUUUGCUUUUGAAGCAAUGCACACUUGAAGAGUUGAAUCAUGGAGAUCUCCCCCUAUAUCUUGUAAUUCAUGCACGCAUUUGACAUAUAAUAUGAAGAAUCUGAAAUGCAUGAUGAAAUAUGGUGCCUGAUGAAAUUCAGCAUGCGUGCAAUAAUAUUAAUGAGGAACAAGCAUGCAGAAUAACGCAUCAAGAGUAUCAGAUCACAGUGCAUCAAAAGUAUCAGAGCACCAUCGGGUUUAAGAUUACAACUCGAUCCAAUAAAGUUUCAGAAGAACGAGAGUUGUAACUUAGCAAAAAACAACGCCCAUAUAAUAGACCCGCUUGAAGACUAACUCAAAUUUCUCCCCCUUUGUCAUCGAAUGACCAAAAGGUUCAAAACUGAGGACUAACGCCCCUGAAGAAUAUCAAGUUGAUGGAGGAGCGCCAGCGUUGGGGUCGAUAGUCGUAGUAGGGCCUGCUGUAGUGUCGUCUAAGUCUUCAUUUUCAUCAGUCUCGCGUGAUGAAGAAUAGGAGCUGGCCACCAAGGAAGGAACCUUGAACUUCUUGAAUUUCUUCGGUGGAGGUGCAGACCAGUCAAAUUCUUCCUUGAGACCCAUAUUCUUCAGAUCUGCAGCGCUGUAGACAUGCGAUAGAACAACCCAGGUAUGGUUGAAGGUUUCAUGGAGGUAGUAUUGGUUUUUCUUCACUGCAUUGUGUGUUGAUGUCAUGUUGUGAAGAAUUGAACCAAACUGAUGCUUGACCCAUUUGUGAUUGCGAUCAACCUUCUGAUGAAGACUGAGGAGUAACUCACAAUCAGUCAUCACCCUGGGUGCUGUGGCUUGAGGAUUUUUCUUGGCGGCAGAGUCAUGUGUGGCAGAGUCGUCAUUGGUGGAGUAUGAUGCAGCCUUGCGAAAUUGACCAUCCAAUGGACGAAUGCCUUCAUCUAUCACAGCAGUUGCCUUGCCUUUGUCAUCAGCCAAGGAAUAUGUCCGUUUGAGGACUUCAAUCGGAGGCAAGUAGCUGCCAUGGUUCAAAGUGUCAGCUUUGUAAUUUAGUGAAGCCCUUGUCCUGAUGAAUCUCAUAAUCCAUGGUGCAUAAGGCUUCAGUUCAAAUGGUGACAUAGCAAUAUUCGUCAGAGUCCUCAUGAAGAAAUCAUGGAAGUUGACGGGAACGCCAUGAAUGAUAUUGAAAAGCAUGUUCUUUAUGAUGCCAACGACCUCUUCAUCAUUUGAGUCAUGGCCUUUGAUAGGACUCAUUGUCUUCGUCAGAAUGCAAUAGACAGUCUGGGGCACAUAUAAUAAUUCCUUGAUGAGGAAUUUGGUUUGAGGAGCCUGCCCUGGCUUCAAAGGCUUCAUCAGCACUUGUAUGAAAUGAUUGGAAAGCUAAGGUUCACUAUAGACGCAACGAGCACUGUCAAGGGGAGGACUGAGUGGUAGGGCAUGAAGCAAUUCAGUUGCUGGUGCCUUGUAGUGAGUAUUUUCAGGCAUCCAGUCCAGCACCCAUGAAUUUACAUCUUCAGAGUUUCCUAUGAUGUGCAGCAUGGCAUAGAAUUGAAGAAUGAGUUCUUCAUUCCAGUCACAGAUGUCAGUGCAGAAGUUCAGUAAUCCAGCAUCGUGAAGAACACUGAGGACUGGCUCGAAGCACGGCAGAGACUCCAUGUCCACAUGAGGAAUAUGUUCAUGAUCGAAGACUUUGUCUUUGUUGAACAGUACUGAGGAAUAGAAAUUUGCUUGACUAGCAUUCCAGAAGCGCCUCUUCCUUAUGUGAGCAGAGUCAUAGGGGUUAUAGUCAGUGAAGAACACAUGCUCGCUGAAGAAAUCUUCAGCCUUGAACUUUUGCUUCUUUGAGAAUGGAUCCCUAGGCUUGGGCACUGGAGUGUCAGUGAGUUGCAUCACAACCUCAGGAAUCGCAAUAUCAGGUUCUUCAGGCUGAGGAAUUUCUGGUUCCUCUUCAGUAGCAGUCUGUGUGUUCAAAGGUUCAACAACAACAGCUUCUUCAGCACUAGUGGCUGGAAUUUCUUCAUGCACAGACGAGGUGGGAUGAGUUUCUUCAGAGCUCAUUUGAACUGUUGGUGCAGGGGACUGAGGUAUUUGUUGUAGUGGCGUGAAGAGUGAAGUAUUGGGGUGCUGACUUUCCCAAAAGUCAUCAUUCAUCACGGGCGUUGUGCAGCCAAUGCCCACGUCUUCAUCUUCAAUUUCUUCAACGCCAACCUCUUUAGCUGUGAACUGAGGCAUUGGCGAGGAAGCAACAGGCGUUGAAGGGAUCGUAUCCACUUCAAUUUCUUCAUCAACCUACUCUGACGAAGCAGCAGAUUGAGGUUCUUCAUUAGAUCCGCUAGGGAUCACAUAUUCCUCAUCAAAAGGAACAAGGUCCUUUGAUGGCAUGGUGGAAAUCGGAACAACGACAUCAAUUGGAUUUUCAAUAGAGCUUGUCAGAGGCUUCAUCUUCUUUGGAGCUGAAGAUUAUGAAGCACUGGAUGCUUUCCUUUUCUUCAUUGCAGCUCGCUCUGCAGCCUUGGUCUUCUUCACAUCGAAUGCACAUGGAAGAAUUGGAGUUGGGGUAGGCGCAGAUGGAACUAAGGAAUCUGGUUGAAUUUCCUCAGGCGCAACUGAUGCAGUUGCCCUGACUUCUUCAGUUUCUUUAGGCGCACAACUAGUGGAUGCCCUGACAAUUUCUUCAGCGGCUGGAAUGGAGUUAUCAGCCCUAGAACUAGCAUUUUCUUCAGCAGCCUGAAUGUCAUCAGCGGUGCUGGCAUGUUCUUCAGUUGGCUGAGCAGAUGCUUCAGCAUGAGGAAUUUCUUGUUGCGAUGGGGCUGCAACAUUUGUGAAUUUCUCAGUCAGUUUCACAAACCUGACUUUGGCUCCUUGCCAAUCAGCAUAGUAAGCAUUGAAAUCAUCGCUGAGGGCUUUGAUUUCAGCUUGGAUCUUGAGGAGUUCAUCAGUUGUCAUAUUGACAACGUUAUUCUUCAGGAACUUCUUCUUUCUGAACUGAGUCUUCUUGAUCUGCCUGGCCUUCUCAAAUUUUCAUUUCUCUUCAGUGAUGAAAUGGGUCAGCAUGUGACUUUGACCAGGAGUCAAAUUGAAAUCAGGCAUAGGAGUAUUUGGAUCCUUGUGCCAGAGAUCAAUGUAAUCAAGGAUCGCCCUUGGAUCCAAAAGCAGUGGCACAUUUGUGCCUUUGGCUCUAGCGGCCCUUUCUUGUCGGUCUCUGAUGAUUUCUGCAAGUUCAUCAUCAUCAGCUUCAUCGUCAGAUGGCACUUGGAAGGCAACCUGUUUCUUCUUCGGACUUAGCCGAGGACCUCGACCAGCCGUUGCCUUAGUCUUCAGCAGAGUGGGGCCUGAUGAAGAUUUUGGUGUAGCUAAGGAACUUGCUGAGGCACCAGAGGCAAUAGAGAUGCAUGUUGUCCUUUGGCACGUGGCCAGAUGUACAGGUGUUGAGGACUUUGCCGGAGCAGCUGAGGACUUUGGAGGAGGAGCAGUAAUUGGAACUGGCCGUGAGGGCUUUGAAGAAUCUGGCCGUGAGGGCAUAGUUGGUGAAGCACUUGGCUUGUGAGCGGGCUUCUUUGUCAUUGAUUUUCUUGGCUUGAUAGAGGCCUCAGUGGCAGUAGCAGCAACAGAGUCUUCAUUGAAUUUCCUCACUGCUUCUUUGGCUUGUCUUGCCAACUUAGCUUGGCGCUUGGCCCAUUCUUCAGGAAAAUCCUCACCACGCUUGAUGCUGGUGGGGUCAGCUUCUUGGCCAGGUGCCAAUGGAGCUCUUGGGCAUGGAGGAUUAAGUGCAAAUUUCUUCAUAUACUUUGGAGUCACAUAUCUGUACUCCCUCCAUUCUCUUGCCCAUCUCCGUUCAAUCUUUUGUAUGCGCACCUUGCGCUGAUUUUUAGUUUCUUUUCCGUACUUAGCCUCAUCAGGUGUGCAAUAAUCAGCAUAGAUGGCCUCAAGUAUUUCAAAAGCAGUCAUGACCUCAGGUUUCUUUCCUCCUUUCUGCGGCUUCUUACCAUCAGCCAUAUUCUUCAGAUGAGGAAUUUGAACAAUCAAAUUUUCUGAAGAAGUGUGCAACUUUUCUUCGAGGAACGCUGCAAAUGAGUUAAGUUGAUGAGAACCUAGUGAUUCAGCAGCGGACAUGAGUACCUGUGAACAGAGUAUAGCUGAAAGGAAUUUGGAGAGGUCAUAUGCAUUCUCAGAAGGUUUUUCAAAAAGAACAAGUUUGAGGAAUUUGACCAGAUGAGCCUUGAAGAAUUUCACUAAGCGUUCUUUGUCUUAGGUUCCAGAGUUGUAUAGAUCGAAGAUCCACACAAUUGAGGAAUCUUGAAGAAAAAUGAUGCUUAGAGAAAUGAAUGAAGAACAGAUGACUAGUGAGGUGUUUUGUGAGUGUGGAUUUGAAGAAAUAAACACUUUUGAAGAUUUUUAUUGUGAAAUUUCAAAUCAAAAGGGGUAGUAAAAGUAACUUUUAAUUACCCUUGAUGAAGAACACGACGAACUGUGAAGAAGAACAGUGAAGUUCGUCGGUGUAGAUCUUCCACGCCCUAACUUGGCGGAGGAAGACAGCUACGGCGGCGGCGGAGUGAAGAUUUCCGCGGUCGGCGCGAGUACGACGGCGACGAGGUCGAGGCAGUGAAGCUCUUCCUCACCGGCGACGAUGGAGUAGAGGUGGCGCUAGGGUUUGAGGAGCUCGAGCGAGAGAGAGAGCGGUCGAGCGGAGUAAAGGAAGUGAGGAAGGGGAGAGGGGGUAUUUAUAGUCCCAGUGAAAAACUAUUCGCCCGAAGAUUUAGGACGAACAUGCCCCUGACCCUUCUCCUUCGCUUGACAUGUGUCACCCACGUACUGAGAAGUGGAGAUCGUGUUAGAUCGUGGGUGAAUAGAUAAGUCUAUCGUGGGAUCCAGAACGGAUUGAGCGGUAAAACCGAAAAUCUGGAUAAGAUUAAUUUUAAAGUUCCGUUCACAAAUUCUUCAGCUGUCAAGGACACAGUGAAGAUUUUGAACGAGUUUCAAAUAGAACGCACAUGAAGAAUUUGUGAAUAUAUUGGGUUGAGUAUAGCAUAGAGGGGAAAGGGUCCGAUCACAUUCACUUAGCAGAAAAUGCAACUUGAAGAAAUAGCCAUAAGUGAAUGCUGUAGAGGACAUAAACUCACAUAUAUAUAUAUAUAUAUAUAUAUAUAUAUAUAUAUAUAUAUUGCCAAUGAAGAAAAACAUCGGAACCAGUGAAGAUUUUGCAAAGUUGAAGAAUUUGAAAAACUGAAGAAUGUCAAACACUGAGGAAUUUCAAAAAUGAAAAUUUUCAACUUUGGUGGUGGCAUGACCCACCAUAUAAGAAUGAUGAUUUCAGACACCGCGUACCAUUGUCGUAGGGUUCUGAGAAUCAAAUUCUUCAUUAAUUUCUUCACACUUAGAGUGUUAUUCUUCAUUGAUUGAAGAAAAACGUUUCUUCAUGUGUUGCACAUCUAAGUCAUCAAUUUUGCAUAAGUGUUAGGAUGUGUGUCCUUUUCAAAGAACAUUCAAAGAUUUUAAGAUAUUUAGCUCACACCGCAACUUGCUAAAUCUCUUCUCAUCCAAGGGCUUUGUGAAGAUAUCAGCUAGCUGUUCUUCAGUCUUCAUGUGCUCGAUGGAGAUCUCGCCCUUCAACACAUGAUCACGAAGAAAAUGAUGACGAAUCUGAAUGUGCUUUGUCUUCGAGUGCUGAACUGGGUUGUGAGCAAUCUUGAUGGCACUCUCAUUAUCACAGAGGAGAGGCACAUUCUUCACGUUGAUGCCGUAGUACUUGAGGGUUUGCUUCAUCCAUAGCAGUUGAGCACAACAAGAACCAGCAGCAAUGUAUUCAGCUUUAGCAGUAGACAGUGAUACGCAGUUCUGUUUCUUCGAGGACCAACAGACCAAAGAACGUCCGAGGAAAUGACAAGUACCAGAUGUUGACUUGCGGUCCACACGAUCACCAGCAUAGUCAGAGUCAGAAUAUCCAAUGAGAUCAAAAGUAGAGCCCUUGGGGUACCAUAAUCCUAGUGUUGGUGUGUGAGCUAGAUAUCGAAGAAUAUGCUUCAUAGCCUUAUGGUGUGAUUCCUUCGGUGCAGCUUGAAAUCGGGCACACAUGCAAACACUAAGCAUUAUAUCUGGCCUAGAUUCACAUAAGUACAAUAAUGAACCAAUCAUGGAGCGGUAUACCUUGUGAUCGAAGUCAAUACCAUUUUCAUCAGUGCAUAGAUGGCCAUUUGUGGGCAUAGGAAUUUUGACGCAUUUGCAAUCUUGCAUGCCGAAUUUCCUCAGAACGUCCUUGAGGUAUUUCUCCUGAGAUAUGAAUAUGCCAUUGUGCUGUUGACGAAUUUGAAGACCUAAAAAGAAUUUCAACUCUCCCAUCAUAGACAUUUGAUACUCUUCACUCAUCAUAUAGGCAUCACUAUAACGUUGGUCAGUACAGCCAAAGAUAAUAUCAUCAGCAUAUAUUUGGCACACAAACAGUUCACCAUCAUAAGAUUUAGUAAAGAGAGUAGGAUCGAGUGAACCGGGUGUGAAGCCAUUCUUCACGAAGAAUUCCUUCAAAGUAUCAUACCACGCCCGAGGGGCCUGCUUGAGGCAAUAUAGGGCCUUGUUGAGUCUGAAGACUUUGUUAGGAUUCUUUGGAUCUUCAAAACCUGGGGGUUGAGCAACAUAUACUUCUUCCUCAAGCUUACCAUUGAGGAAUGCACUUUUCACAUCCAUUUUUUGUAAGAUAAUAUUAUGAUGGUUAGCAUAAGCAAGCAAUAUGCGAAUCGCCUCAAGUCUAGCAACAGGUGCAAAAGUUUCAUCGAAAUCAAUUCCUUCAACCUGUGUGUAGCCUUGAGCUACAAGUCGUGCCUUAUUCCUCACCACAAGGCCAUUUUCAUCUUGCUUGUUGCGGUAGAUCCACUUUGUGCCAAUGAUAUUAUGCUUGCGAGGGUUUGGACGUUUGACCAGUUCCCAGACAUUGUUGAGCUCGAACUGAUGUAAUUCUUCUUGCAUGGCCUGAAUCCACUCAGGCUCCAGAAAUGCUUCAUCUACCUUAGUGGGCUCUGUAAUAGAGACAAAAGCAUAGUGCCCACAAAAGUUAGAUAAAUGUGAAGCUUUUGAGCGUGUGAGAGGACCUGGCGCUCGAAUGUCAUCGAUGAUCCUUUCCACUUGCACUUCUUUUGCAAUGCGAGGAUGAGCUGGUUGUCGUUGAGGAAUUUGAUCAGCAUUAUCUUCAACACCAUUUUCUUCAGCAUUUUCAUCAGGUGCACCAGCUCGAUUUUCUUCACGUUCUGGAAUGAAUUCUUCAACAGAUUCUUCGGUAGGAAUAACAUCCUCAGUAGCCUUGAACUUGAUAGAAUCCUCAGGUGCUAGUUCAUCUAUCACAGAAGGUAGGUGUUCUCUUUGCGAGCCAUUAGUUUCGUCGAACCGCACAUCUACAGUUUCAACAACCUUGUGAAGAACGUUGUUGAAGACUCUGUAGGUGUGUGAGUCCUUUCCGUAACCAAGCAUAAAACCUUCAUGUGCUUUCGGUGCAAAUUUAGCAUUGUGAUGAGGAUCUCUAAACCAACAUUUAGCACCGAAGACUUUGAAAUAACUCACAUUGGGUUUCUUUUCACUGAGGAGUUCAUAGGCAGUCUUCUUGAAGAAUUUGUGAAGAUAUACCCGAUUGAUGAUGUCGCACGCAGUAUCAAUUCCAUCAAUCCAAAAUCGACGAGGUGUUUUGUAUUCAUCAAGCAUAGUGCGAGCCAUUUCAGCGAGGGUUCUGUUCUUGCGCUCCACGAUGCCAUUCUGCUGAGGAGUAUAAGGAGCAGAUAACUCAUGAGUAAUACCAAGUUCAUCAAGAUAGCCAUCAAGACCGGAAUUCUUGAACUCGGUCCCAUUGUCAGUUCUGAUGUGCUUGAUCUUCACACCAAAGUUGGUUGAAGUCCUAGAGGAAAAUCGUUUGAAGAUUUCCUGCACUUCAUGUUUGUAAGUGACAAUGUGUACCCAUGUGUAACGAGAAUAGUCAUCAACAAUAACAAAGCCAUAUAGAGAUGCAUCAUUUGAAACAGCAGAAUAAUGAUUAGGACCAAAGAGAUCCAUGUGAAGCAAUUCAAAUGGACGAGUAGUGGUCAUGAUAGUCUUUGCUGGAUGCUUGGCCUUUGUCAUCUUUCCAGCUUCACAAGCUCCGCAUAAGUGAUCCUUGAGGAAUUUGACAUUCUCAAUGCCAAUGACAUGCUUCUUCUUUGCAAGCGUGUUCAGAUUCCUCAUGCCAGCAUGACCAAGUUGUCGAUGCCAUAGCCAGCCUUUUGAAGCUUUUGCAAGUAAGCACACGGCUGGUUGUGGUCCUGUAGAGAAAUCAACAAUAUACAGCUCUCCUCUCCUAAAGCCUUCGAAGACUUUGGAAUGGUCAGCUUCCAUGAUCACAACACAUCGAUAUCUUCCAAAGACAACAACCAUAUCGAGAUCACAAAGCAUUGAGACAGACAUGAGGUUGUAUCCUAAGGACUCGACAAGCAUGACUUUGUCCAUGUGUCAAUCCUUUGAGAUCGCAACCUUACCUAGACCCAAUACCUGACUUUUGCCUUUGUCAGCGAAGAUGAUGUGCUUCAGAUGUGACAGUGUUAAGGGAGCAUCCAUCAAUAGGUUCUUGUCACCAGUGAUGUGAUUUGUACAUCCACUAUCGAGAACCCAUUCGUUGACUUUGGGCUGAUCAUCCUGCAGAUGAAUUAGCACACUUAUGAUCUCAUAUACUUCAUCAGUGAAGAAUAUGAUAUCAAGUUCAUCAGAUGAAUUUCAUCAAGCAGUAAAACAGAUAUUUCAGUAUGAGGAUGUGUGAAAUGAAAGUUCAUUUCAUCAUGAUUCGCCUGCGUUCUUUCAGGCAUUUUUGUCAGGCCCCCAGCAAAUUCUUCAGACGUUUAAAGCAUGUCUGGAGACCUGACCCUGCAUAAGAGAUUAGUUCUUUUUCUUCACCACCCACAUCUGAAGGGGUGGCAAAGAGUUCAUCACUCUGCGAGCACCAUAUGAGAAAGGUGGCAUAGAGGCCAAUCCAUUUCGUAUCACAUAAGAGGGGUUAGGGUAAGCAUAUGAAUAAGCAGAGAAGUUCUUCGAGGACUUAUGAACAUAAUGAUUUGAAGUAUAAUGUGCAUAUUCAUAGCCCUUAGCUCUACCCUGCGAAACAGAAUUGUUAGCACGAUGAUAGUCAUAUGAGGACUUUGAUCCAUUUGACGAAUUUGAUCCACGUGAGGAAUUUGGUCCGUAUGAGGACUUGGAUCCAUAUGAAGAAUUAGGUCCAUAUGAAGAGUUUGAUCUGGGGUUCCUAUUCUUCACAGGUGGUGUCAUGAGGACAUUCACCUGAAGACUUUCAACAUAACUUUUGGGAACCCAGAUUUUCUUCAUAGGGGAACCGUUCCUGCAGUUAGUCCCAACAUAUCUAGCAAAUACUUCACCAUUCUGAUUUUUGAACAGUUUAUAGUUGGAGUCAAAUGACUCAUCAGAAGAAUGAGGAGAUUCACAUGUAAAGCUAGAUAAGUUGGAUGGAUCAACUGGAGGUCCCUUUGCAGCAACCCAUGAGGUUUUGGGGUACUGCUCAGGCUUCCAAUAUGUUCCAUCAGCAUUGAGUUUCCUCUCAAAGGCAAUACCCUCUUUCCUAGGGUUUCUGUUAAGUAUCUGCUUUUUGAGCACAUCACAAAGAAUCUGAUGCCCUUUGAGGCUUUUGUACAUGCCUGUCAUGUACAAUUCCUUCAGCCCUGCAUCAUUAGUAGUACUAGCAAUGUCCUUAGAUGAGGAAUUAGUGAUAGCAGAGGCAGGUGAAGAAUUUGUAACAGUUGAAGCAUUUAAACAUUCAGGUGAUGAAUUAGCAGAUUCACGUUCAAUGCACUUUAAGCAUGGUGGAACAAAUUCUUCUUGAGUAGCGCUGAUUUGUUGAGCAAGUAAUGAAUCACGAUCCUUCUGAAGAUCUUCAUAACUCACUCUUAGCUUCUCAAGAUCUUGCUUUCUUUGAAGAAAUUCAUAAGAAAGCUUCCCGUGAUCAGAUAAGAGAGUGUUAUGAUGACUUUGAAGAUUGUCAAACUUAGACUGAAGUCUCUGAAGAUUUUCAGUUAAGUCUUUAGUGCGGUCCAUUUCAUCACCCAGCAUAUCAUCACUUUUGUCUAGCAUGUUUUGAAGUUUUUCAAUAGCCUUUUGUUGUUUCACAGCAAUCUUAGCAAGUUUAGAGUAACUAGGCUUAAGAUUUUCAUCAGAUUCAUCCUCACUAGAUUCAGAGGAGGGGUAUUUUGUUACCUUGGCACCCUUUGCCAUGAAGCAAUAGGUGGGAGCGUAGUCAUCAUUGUCUUCAUCAGCCUUGUUGGUGCGGUCAAUUUCUUCAGAGUUGAAGAUAGACUUGCUGACGAAAGCAGUAGCGAGAGCCAGACUCCCCACACCAGACUCUGACUCCUCAGAUGCCUCCUCUUCCUCAUGUUCCUCAGAUUCAGCUUCAGAGUCCAUUUCCUUGCCAAUGAAUGCCUGAGCCUUCUUGGAGCUGCUCUUCUUGUGAGAUGAAGUGUCGGAGUAAUUGGCGAUGGGUACCCCGAAGACGGCAAGGCGAUAUUUCAAGACAUCAGGGCUAGCAAAGCCCCUCAGUCCGACUGCCCGGCCGCUCUAGCCGGCUGCCGACUGCGACAACCAGCCGGCUGCCGACUCCGACAACCAGCCGGCUGCCGACUAUGCCAACCAGCUGACUGCCAACUGUGCCAACCAGCCGGUUGCCGACUGCAGCCCGAAGCGACACCGACAAGACCCCGAUGUGGCAGCCAUACCGCGGACGAGACGGCUGUACCUCGAUGCCAUCAUGUAUAGUGUCACUUGUCCCCUGGCACUAUUUAUGAAGUGACCCAGGGGACAAGGAUGACACCCACCAUGCCUUGCUCCCAUACCACCACAUAGCUUAGAUAGUAAGCUAGCCAUGCCUAUAUAAAGGCACACAUCCAUUCAUCCAGGGGAUGGACUCCCAUGGCCACAUUCAUUUGGCCACAAGGCCACUCACGGCCACAAGCCACGGCCAUACAUGGCCACUAGAGCCGUCCAUACGCAUGCAUAUACCAGAUCAGAUGCAAUUGGCACUUAUCCCAGAUACAGCUCCAGGAGCACUUUGUACUACCCGAUGUACACCCCAGAUAGAUACACUCAGACAUGCAGCAGUAGGAGUAUUAUCUCUUCGGAGAGCUCCGAAGCUGGGUAAACCACCGCGUGCUACUCGCAUACCCGCUCCCGGGCCUAUCAGUAGCAGUCUUACCCUCACACUAAGCCCUCGUGGCAUAUGUCGUCUUGCACCCCCCCGUGAGAAUACCACGACAUGAAGACUUUGAGGAUUUUGAUGAUGAAGAUUUUGAAGAUUUCUUCUUCUUCUUAGCGUCAUCAGAACUGUAAUCCUUGUAUUUCUUCUUCUUUAAUUCCUUUUCUCACUGAGGACAAUCCUGAAUAUAGUGACCAGGUUUCUUGCAUUUGUGGCAAAGUCUUCUCUUAUAGUCACUUGAUGAGGAAUCACUGCUCCUUGAGGAUUUUCCAAAGCGACCACGUCUUGAGAACUUCUGGAAUUUCUUCACGAGCAGUGCUAGCUCCUGGCUCAAUUCUUCAGGAUCACCAAGGCUACUACCAGAGUUUUCACAUUCAGAUUUAGACACAGCCUUGGCCUUCAGGGCACGUGGUUUGCCAUAGCUUGAACCAUAGAGAUCUCUCUUUUCAGCAAGCUGGAACUCAUGAGUAUUUAGCCUCUCGAGGAUAUCAGCCGGAUCUAGUGACUUGUAAUCAGCGCGCUCUUGAAUCAUCAGUGCUAGAGUGUCAAAUGAAGAAUCAAGUGAUCUCAGCAAUUUCUUCACCACCUCAUGGUCGGUGAUAUCAGUGGCAUCGAGCGCUUGAAGUUCAUUUGAGAUAUCAAUGAGGCAAUCGAAGGUUUGCUGAACAUUUUCAUUGUCGAGUCUUUUGAAGUGGUUGAAGAGAUUGCGAAGAACGUCAACACGAGAGUCACGUUGAGUUGAGACUCCUUCGUUUACUUUGGAGAGCCUAUCCCAGAUAAGCUUAGCAGUUUCCAAAGCACUCACUCUACCAUACUGCCCUUUACUCAGAUGACCACAUGUGAUAUUCUUCGCUUGAGAGUCAAGUUGCUUGAAUCUCUUCACAUCAGCAGCAUUCAGGGAAGGUGUGACUGAGGGAACACCAUUUUCCACAACGUACCAGAGAUCAUUGUCAAUUGCUUCAAGAUGCAUUCACAUCUUACUCUUCCAGUAGGGGUAGUCCGUGCCAUCGAAGGUAGGACACCCAGCGGAGACCUUGAUCAUACCUGCGGUCAACAUAACUAGAACUCCAGGUGGUUAAACCAAAAACACACAGAACAAGGGAGUACCUUGCUCUGAUACCAAUUGAAAGUGCGUUAUAUCGACUAGAGGGGGGGUGAAUAGGCGAUUUUUAUGAAUUCUUCACUGAGAAAUUUGCCGGUGAGGAAAUUCCUUAGCGAAGAACUACUAGCAAUGGAAUAAGUACUCAGAAGUAAGCAUAACAGGAUACAAACAUAGUCAUCAUGAUGAAAUGAAGACAAGCACAGAGUACAGGAAGCGUAAACACAUGAUAACACAAGAUGAAGACAAAUAGACUGAAGAAAUUGAAUUGAGGAAAUUGAGAAAGUCUUCAGUCAAAGUCUUCAAACACAGAUAUGAACAAUCACUCAACACAGUAAUGAGGAAAUGAAAGAGUUGAGGAAGUAGAACCAGUAAGGUUGGUGAAGACAAUGAUUUGGUAGACCAGUUCCAACUGCUGUCUCAGUUGUGCGUCUGGUUGGAGCGGCUGAGUAUUUAAACUCGAGGACACACAGUCCCGGACACCCAGUCGCUGAGCACGCAGCUCAGGACACCAAGUCCUCACCGUAUUCUCCUUGAACUAAGAUCACACAGACCUCGUCCAAUCACUCGUGUAAGUCUUCAGGCGACUUCCAAACCUUCAAAGACUCGGUCACUCGGCGAUCCACAAUUCCUCUUGGAUGCUCUAGACCAUGACGCCUAACCGUCUGGAAGAAGCAUAGUCUUCAAAGGUAACAAGCGUCGGAUCCACGCAGGAUCAAUCUCUUCAGUGAUGCUCAAUCACUUUGGGGUUUGUAGGUGUUUGGGUUUGGGUUUUUCCUCCCUCGAUGAUUUUCGCUCAAAGUCCUCGGAGGAUGGGUUGCUCUCAAAUGACAAGUGUCAGUUUCUCUCGGAGCAGCCAACCAGCUAGUGGUUGUAGGGGGAGGCUAUUUAUAGCCUAGGGAGCAGCCCGACAUGAUAAAACAUAAAUGCCCUUGUCUGAUAUGACCGUUAGGUGGAUAAGAUAUUUUGGGACAACUGGCACGUAGCACAACAACGGUCGGAAAUUUGACUAUCAAAUUCCUCAAGGCUAUCAUGUUCCUCACUGUGUAGGCAAUCCGCACUGGCGAAUUCCUAACUCCUCAGUCAGAACAAAUUCCUCAGCGACCAGAAGAACUUCGUCUCUAUCACUGAAGAAAUUGACUGAACUGUAUGAGAUUUCCAAAGGCUUCACUCGAAGGGUUUGGUAGGUGUAGGAUUUUGAGUUGAGCAUCACUUGGAAAAUUUUCCUUAGUAUUUCCUCGACCCCCUUUAACAAUACGGUGUUUCCUAUGACUCAAGAAAGAGAAAAACAAAACUAUGAAAACGAAAGUCUUCAAGCUUCAUAUUCCUCGCAUGAAUAUUAAGUCUUCACGGAUACACCAAUUUCUUCACUUUCAAAGUCUUCAUGAAAGUCUUCAGGAAUACCAAAAUCUUCAGUCGAAGAUAUUCAUUUUUAGGGGUCGACUUUCCCUGUAAAUAUCAAACUCCUCAUAGACUUAUAGACCUGUGUACACUCACAAACACAUUAGUCCCUUAACCUAUAAGUCUUCAAUACACCAAAAUCACUAAGGGGCACUAGAUGCACUUACAAAUUGGAGAAGGCUGUUUUGUAUUCUUCACCGUCGGCAAUGCAGAUUUGAUGAUAACCCGCUCCAAGGUCAAGCUUGGAGAACCAAACUGCGCCGUGCAGUUCAUCAAGUAAUUCCUCAAUCACUGGUACUGGGAACUUGGGCACUGUGGUCAUAGCAUUUAGAUGGCGAUAAUCCACACAGAGGCGCCAUGUGUCGUCCUUCCUUUUCACUAGAAUCACCGGGGAUGCAAAUGGGCUAGCGUUGCGUCUGAUGACACCUUGUUUGAGCAGAUCUGCCACUUGUUCUUCGAUUUCUGUCUUAUGCUCUGGUUUGUGUCGGUAUGGGCGAAUGUUCACCGGUUGCGUCCCCAGCACCACUGGUAUGUGGUGGUCACAGUUACGCCGAGGAGGAAGCCCUUCCGGCUCUUGAAAGACAUCAGUAUACUGCUCCAAGAUAGCCUGAAUACGCUCGGGGGUAGCAUCCUGUUCUUCACCAUCCCCCAAGGUAACUUGAUACAAUCUGACUAUGUGAGAGACAACCCCCUGACGACACAAGCUGCCUAGCUACAUGCUGUUGAUAACCGGACAUGAGGAAGUCAAUGGAUGACCAUGGAUAUGCACUACCCUGUCAGGUGAGGGAAUAGCAAUGUGCUUGCCCUUCCAGUCGACAGUCAUCCGGCUGUUCUCCUCCAACCAGUCCAUUCCAAGUAUGGCAUCAUAAGUACCCAGAUCAAGGACCUUCAUGUCAGUCACAAACUCGUGCCCUUGCGAAAACAAUUUGCACUGAGGAAUGGAAGCUCGGCAUUGGAGCUCCCCGCCGCCUGCCACUUUGACGCGCCCCGCACGAGCCAAGGGAACAACUCCUUCCAAUUUAGCAGCCAACUGAGCGUCGACGAAUGAAGUGGAGCUGCCUGAGUCCACCAGCAUGAGCACUUCGUGUCCCUGGAGCCAUGCAUGAACUUGGAAUGCUUUAGGUGAAGUGUCGCCUGUCAAAGCAUGCUUGGAAAUGGCCAUAGCAGUCUCCACCGGCUGUGUCUGAUCAUUAUCAAGGACAAAAUCAAUGCCGAAGAGUUCCAAUAGUUCCUUGACCACAUGGAGUUGUACAGUGGUGGGGCAUGUAUGUUCCUGACCCCACCGCUCGCCACACUUGGCAGAGCCCACGAGCACACUGAUACUCGCAGAGCGCCUUGACCUUGGAGCUGUCCGCGCGGGCGCCGUCGAGCCCGUAGCGAUCCGUGGCUGCGGGGUGUUGUUGGUGCAGGCGUCGGGCGUUGUGGAGGAGGCGGUAGAGGAAGCGCUCGUCCUGGUCGUGGCCCCGUGUCCCCCGCAUGCGGAGGAGGUGGCGGUGGUGCUGCUGAGUAGGCGCACCCCACGACUUCCUCCUGGAGCAAGGCAAGAGAACACGCCAUGUCCAGAUCAGGUGGUCGCUGCACCAGAACCGCCGCACGGAUGUCCGCUCGUAGUCCCUCAACAAACCGAGUCAAGUAAAAAUAUGGAUGAGUGUUGUCAAAAUAUGAAACUAAAUGAUUCAUAACUGAUUCAAAACAUUCAAUGUAAUCUGCAACAGAGGUGGUCUGUCGAAUUGUAUAGAACUACCUAAUCAAAUGUUGAUGCCUGUCUCGACCAAACCGCGUACAGAGCAAGGUAGCAAAUGAUUCCCAAUCGAAGUCAAACAACUUGUUCUGAACCGAUUGCAACCAGAUGGACGCAGUGGCAGAGAAAUUGAGUGCAGCCAUGAGUACGCAAAACAUGGGGUGAAUUCCAAACAUGUUAAAAUACUGCUCACAUAACGUCUUCCACAGCUUUGGGUUCUCGCUGGCAAAUUGUGGAAACACCACAGAAGGAUGGGCUUGCCCCUAUCCAGCGAGCAAUUGACUUGCAUGAGAGAAAGGAGAAGCUACAGGGUCGGGUGACUGGAGGGGGUACUGACCAGUGCCUGGGAGGGGCGCUGGCAGCGUGGCCAGCACCUGCUCCCGGUCGAGGAAGGCGUCGCGGUGGUCAUUUGACCCGUGUGGCCGCCCCUGCGCGGUCGGUUCGACGCCAGGAGGAGUGCCGACCGCAGCGAGGAGUGGAUCGGUCGUUGACGAUCCUUGCAGCGCCACACCGAGCGCUGCCACCGCAGGUAGCCACCCUUGUUGCAGCUCCGCCACCGCGUCAGUGAGCUGGUCGACACAUGACGCUCGAGAUUGGGCCGCCACGCGACCAGAUCGUCCAGCUUGGCUGUGUGCGGGUGGAUCGUGGCUGUGUUGCUCGUCCAUGGACUUCGUGAUCGUGUCCAUGUACUCGUCCAUGGACUUGGUGAUCGUGUCCAUGUACUCCUUCAUGGUGGGAUCCAUGGCUUCGAUCUGAACACGGGCUUGAUGCAGACGCCUGGUUUCUACGAACAGAGCCAGAUCGAGGUAGGGAAGAGGUGGUGGUUGUCUCUGAUACCAUAUGUUAGGAGCAAUGACGGGGAAUCGAUCUAUUGUCUCAGGAAUUACUCAACCCCGAUUACAAUUUGGGUACAUGAAUGGAGGAACGAGAAAGGGGAAUAGGGUUCGUGCCGCCGCCGGUUCAUUGAUCCGCUGGAUGGUGAUUCUGUGGAAGGGACUCGGUUAAGUAGUGGCAGCCUCUGGGCCGGGCCACACUUACACCCACUCUGGCCUGCUCACUCGAGGGUUGCUCCUGCGAGCCCGCGGCAGUCUUGGUGGCAUGGGCGAGCCGUUGGAGUCGCUGCGCUGUGGGGUCGCCAUGUCAGGUAUGUUGACACUUAACAACAUCAUCACUUGCCACCACCUAUAGCCAAUGAAAAGCAGUAAAGUUUCUCAUUUUUCAAAUGAUCCAGAGCAACGAAGCUAACACUUGAGAUCAAUCUAGGCAGAUUGGAAACCACACUAAAACAGAGGUAAAUAUUCCAAGCAUUUGCUAGCAUAGAUCAUGAUAUAAAAGCAUAGCUUUAGACACUUGUAAGCCCUUGAUUGAUGAAAACAUGAGGAGGCUUGGUUUUAACCAGCCGUAGCAUUUGGACUAGAUGGUAAGCCGUAUAUAGACAAUGCACAACUGUAUUGUUCAGUUUUGAGAUCACUUGUCCCUAGAACUAAAUGUAUCAGCCAAUAGGCCACUAAAAAUACAGCAGACUAGUGAAGCAUGAAUUACUUUCAAAGCAGUUAAUCCCUUCAAAAAAAGAUACUGCAGAAAGAACCAAGAUUUUCAGCUCACAAGAAUGAGAACAAGCAACCAACAAACUGGAUCAAAACUGAAUCCUCCGAUUGAUAAACGCAUUGCGGCCAUCAACAAGUCCAAAAUAGUACCCCCAUAAAAAAGAAGGCAGUAGUGGCUGUUGUUAAUCUUCGGUACGGUUUGCAAUUCUCUCUUCGUAAUAGUAGCGUGCUCAUCUCAAGUAUUCUACUAGUAACUACUCUGAAUCAUGUAUACUUAUGCUCUGAAUCAUGUUUAAAUGGCAUACAUGAAUGUCGGCGCCUACACAAGGAUAUUAACUUUAGUAUUGAGUGGUUUGAGACAGGAAGAAAUGAAAAUCUCCCUAGGUUGAAUUGAAUUUUUAAGAGUUUGUCUCGUACUCCCUCCGUUCCAAAAUAAGUGUCGCAACUUUAGUACAACUUGUACUAAAGUUAGUACAAAGUUGAGACACUUACUUUGGGACGAAGGGACUACUAGACAAAGUGAUCAGGAUUUGAAAAGUUGUGAAGUCACAGUCACAUAAAAAGGGCAUAAAAAACAAUACAGACAUAGAAUUACACAAAAGAAAUCAGCACUUGGUCAAAGGGAUAUUUACUCAUCAUGGGGAUGUGCGCCAAAAAUCCUGCAGAUAAUGAGAAUGCUAAUAUAGCAAGGGAGGAUGGUCUUGCAAGAUAACUAUAGUGGCCUGUGACAGGAAAUGUAAAUGAUUGUCUACAACCGGUCUCUAAAAUCUUAAUAGCUCAACUGCAUCAUUACCUAGCGAAUCAAUGGACCGCUACCUAAUUAAAGCUCUCAAGCACUGUAGUUGAUCAAUCAGCGACCAUAUAAAACAUGGAAUUUUGCAGAGGACAAGCAGUAAGAUGUGAUUUUGCUGUCAUCUCAUAAGCUAGAAAAAAAUAUAAUAAGAAAGUAUGGAGUUAAGAAGCACAUUCAUGCCUAAAUGAAAACAGGAGUUUAGAAGCCAACAAAACAUGGAAGCAAAGCAUAAUGUGCACAGAAAUUGUUAAAUAUGCAGAUAGAUUCAGCAUCUGGUAACGGGGCGGUAAACUUCUGGGUAGCUGAUAAUUCAUGUUGUCCAGUAUCACAUCUUGCAUCAAUAAGUUUUGGUACUACAAAGGUCGGCAGCACAAAAUUGAUAUAGUUGUGAAAAUACCAAAACAUCUAUAUCCGGCAACGUUUUCGUCCCAAGAUUCACCCACUUGUGUGAAAGUGACCCAUGGUGAAUUAUGUACAUGGCACGUGGUAUUAUUUUGGUACCUGGCGGUGUACAAACAUGUGGUGUAUCUAGGUUUUCGUUUGAAAGUUUUUGAACAUGUGUACAUGUUGCGUUGGUUCGUCUAGCGUUUUUCUGCUGUGGGUGGGCUAGUCUGUACAUUUGGCUUCGCGGCCCGAUGCAUAUUCCUUCCUUCUGUACGACGGCUGGGCGCUCAGCCGCUCAUGGCUCAUGGGUCAUGGCAGAGCAGAGAGCACGCGCCCCUGCCUGGCUCCAUGGUUCUUUGCCGAUGUCCAUCCCAUCUCCACGGCGUUGCCCCUGGCAUCCUGCGCGCGGCCACCACCUGCUGGUUCGGCCGCCUCUCAUCGGCGUCAAGAGCUCGCCGUGCCGCCGCUACCUGCUGGGUCGACCGCUUCUCAUCGGCGUCAAGAGCUCGCCGUGCCGCCGCUACCUGCUGGGUCGACCGCUUCUCAUCGGCGUCUAGAUCUCGCCAUGCUGCCGCACUCUGUAGCAGCCAACAGUGGCAGGGCAACAGCAGAGGGGCGGCGCUGUCCUCCCGGGCCAAACUCGCGCAACUCAAGCUCGGCCGUCGAGGUUCGGCUGGGCCUCCUCCAAUGGUGCCUCGACCCGUCCGUCUCCAUGCCGUUUCAGGAUCGCCACCGGCCUCCUCCAAUCGCCUCGGUCUAAACUUCUUUGAUGAUUAAUAGAGCAGUAGUACAGGCGAUGUCCUUCUCCAAUUCUCAUGCCGCACAAGAUCGUACAACGGGAGGAUGUUGGUAUUGGAUCCCGUCUCCUCACUCUCCCCUAUUGAUAUUCCUUUAAUUUUCCCCAUUACUAAUCAGCCUGCUUAUGCUUCGUACGCUUCAGGCCUGUGUUCUUCUUUUAACUGUUGCUGCUGCACGCACGAGCUCAGGAAUUCGGACCCAUUCCUCAUGUUCUUAGGUAUUUCUUCAUUCUGAAUCAAUGUUCAAGCCAUAUGGUUCAGAGGUGUAACACUUGUUGCAACCAUUUUGUUUCCUGAUCGAUAGCUUCGUCUGUUGGUUUCAGUCUCCAAGCUCACUGAGUUCCCCGAUCAUCCCCACUGAGAAUUCCAGGCCGUCAUCUACAUGCUUGAUGGAGGCAUGCACACAUGCAAAUAAUGAAACCAUUAUGUGUUGAGCUUGAGCAUAAUUACAAAUUCAGCUUUUAAUCCUACAAAGUUAUCCCUAUAGGUCAUUAAACUUACAGUAGUUUCGAUUUAUUUUUGAAGCACUUAUUCUCUUUCUCCUAUUGUCUAUUCUUUCUCGUGGUAAAACCACACAAAUUGAGUGAAAUUAGUCCGAAGGACAGCGGGGAGAAUGUUCUGUUCAAUUGUUAAAACCAUUGAUUUAGGGUCCUACUUUUUCUUAAUUUAACCGGCUAGAAUUUAAUUACUUCCACCUUAUAUUUCUUUGCAUACAAUUAGUUUUGGUACAAGGGCUUAUAUUAUUGUUUUGCUCAUCCUGUAGUUUUGGUUUAGCAAAGCAUCAACUAUUUCAUCUAAUCCAUAUCCUGCUCAAGUACAUUUCAGUCACUAAAGUUCAGUUCUCCUGCUUUCCAAAAGUUGGAAGUGUUCCUCAACAUCCUAGCCAUUCUGGUUGUUCAUCUACAGGUAGACUACUUCUCUUUAUUUGGUAUUUCUGCCUUAGAUUACUAUGUAUAUUGUUGCAUGGUCUUGCAUAACACAUAUGUCUGUUCUAUAAGGAUCAAUCCUUGCUUUCAUCGUUUUGAGAGAUCAUACUUGGAUAUUUCAAUAGCUUGAAUUUCCAGUUUGACAUCCUCCGGUUCGUCCUCUGUACACGAUGAUCGGUUGAUCAUGUAUAUGAUCUCUCUUUUGCCUUCCUUCUCCUAUAGAAGAAAGCAAUGUUUAGUAGUAAUUUUUCGGUAGUAUUUCGCUGGCUACUGCUUAGUCUGUACUGUAGUGCUUGCUAUGCCUUGUUUUGCAGUCUUUUCUUAGCUUGCUACUACCUGUUAUGAAUUAAUUUCUUUAGCUUGCUACUACCUCUUCUUCUAUUACCUGUUCACUUGGUACUACAUGUUCUGUUUCUGUACUUUUUUCUUGUAGUGAAGGCAGAGAAUAUGCAUCCUUUGAAGUCUCCAACUGUGCUAUCUUCUUACAGAUUUAUCUUCCUGUCCUGUUUGGCGUCAAAUUCUUUGUAUUUCUCUUGGGAUUUUGAUGGACUUUAUAAUAUUCUCUGAAUCUAAUCGUGCUGCGGGACCGACGGAAGAUGAUCACAGUGCGGCUCGAAUUCAUAUGGACCGCCACCAAUUUUAAUUGAAGAUCACCGUGAAAUGCAUACAGAAGAAACUAAAAACAUAGUAUACAGAGAUCAUUGAUUCUCGUAGUCACUUACCCACCAAGAAAGCUACAUGAUAGUUUCUUUAGUAAUAGGUAUAUAUUUUUAGUAAUAGGUACUCCCUUUGUAAAGUAAUAUGAGAGCGUUUAGAUCACUAAGUAGUGAUCUAAACACUCUCAUAUUAGUUUACAAAGGGAGUACAUGAUAGUAUCCUCUUUCUGUACAGGCCCAGGAAUUUUAUAGGUUCAAUUAUUAAUUGUUGCACAUAGUUGGAUUUGUUUCUAAGUUCUAAUUUGCUCUAUAACAGUAAGAAUGUAGUUCUCCAUAGUUCAGUGCUACGAUUAAGUAAUUCCUGUAAGUGAGUAAAUAGGUGACACUCAGAUUGUCAGAAUGUGCUUAGUUUUUGUAUAGCAUUUUCUAGGUCUGUACAACACUUUGAAUCUUGCAAAGAGAGAUAAUUCUGAAGCUAUUUCGUAUUUGCUGUGCACAUGCAGUUUUUGUUUUUGUUUCAUGUGGUCCAUCAAGAAUCAACGAAAUAAUGUUCAGGAGUUGUUAGAACAAGACUCGCCACAGGACUGAGACUAGCAUGUUCAAGGCUUCAGGAACUGAAGAGAGAGAGAGAGCUCAGUCACAAUUUAUAUGACAAAAGGAGCAUGUUUAUUUGUGCGUGGGAGUAAAGAGGUCCGUAUUUGCAGAGCAUAGUGAAUAGUGAUACCUUCAAAGCUACAAGUACAGUAGUUCAACAUAGGCCGGGGACUUUCCCUGCUGCUCUAAUCCGCUUGACCUGUUCAAGGGAUGUUUUGUUGUUCCCGUAUGGUCGAUGAAAAUUUACUGGAGGCUAUACAACAGGUCCUAUAUUUAGGAUUGUCCCUAUGAUAUGUACUUAAGGUAGGUUUUGAGGACUGAAACUCCAUUGGGUGAUCGCUCACGCUUCUGUAUGUAAAUGUGCAUUCGAGUUGUGGUUGUUUAUCUCAGCAUGCAGCUUGCUCUCUUUCUUUCUUCUUUUCUUUUUUGGCAAAGUAGAGUUCGCCCUUUUUACCCAUUUGUGUUUGUGAUGAUUUUGUGUGAUAGGAAGCAUGAUACCAUUGCUACCCCGUCGGCAAUGGAUGUCCCACGAGUACAAGGGAGAGGCGUAAAUGUGCACAUACACCUUCCGAGGAAACCUGGGUCGGCUCCGAUGGAAAGAAAAUGCAAGGCAAGAUGGCACGCCAAUAAGGCCUCGCCCUCCAUAAAGUAGAAGAUCUGUCUUCAGUUUUUUGGACCCUCUUUGCACUCCCACUUUGUCCUCGAACUGGAAGCAUAUGCCUCAUGACAUAAGCUAUGGAUGACAGUAACACAAAUCUUAGUACCAGAGUAGCAAUGUGUACUUCCUACUUUGUAAAAUAUAUAUAUCGAUCAUGUGAUGAAUAAAUGUAUGCUUUGCAAUUCGCCUUUAUACAUUACUUGCCUUACUGUAACUCCCAAAUUGCACAUAUAUUUCUCUAAAAUCUAAAUUGUUCAAAUAGAAGAAAUUAGCAAACUAACAUACUAUGCCGUAACAUAUUUCGUCAUCAUGUAUCAACGGGGCGCGGCGUGCCGCCGUGCGGGCAUUGCUAGUAUACUUAUACAACACAGAAAAACAGAUGCCAUCUAGUGCAAGCAAGCUCUGUUAAUGCCUAACUCUGGUUUGCAUAGAUCAUAGGCAAACAUUCCCUACGAUGUAACCAGUUACAGGCUAAACAGACGUAAAUAUUCUGACCAUUUGCUGGGCGUAAAUCAUGACAAGCCUUGAUUAAGCAAACCUGAGAUUAAACGUAUAUAAAACUCUGCAACUGCAGUGUUCGGAGAUCAGUCACUAGUAAAAAAAAGACCUAAUAUGAGAAACAUUAGUACCAGUUCGCAUAUGAGCCGGCACUAAUGCGCCCAUUAGUGCCGGUUCAAAUGACUUGGCAGGAGGUGACCUUUAGUACCGGUUCUUUGGGAAUCUUUAGCACCGGUUCGUGCCACGAACCGGUAGUAAAGAUGCUGGUGCCCGGCCAGCACCUUUAGUACCGGUUUGUAGCACGAACCGGUACUAAAGAUGUUGUGGCAGGCGCUAUUUUUAGUCCCACCUCGCUCCCCUAACAAGAAUUUGACCACCUUAAGUAUGUUACUUCUCAAACUAUCCCAAACAUUUGGUCUUCAUUGAACUCUAUGUGUAGGAUCUGUGGCUGCAAUAGGAGUCUUCACCGGUUCUUAAAUCGGUGGUAGAUUCCUAUUGACGAUUUAGAUUCUAUACAAAAAGAUUGUUGAUGAUCAAUGUAUUUUUUAUAUGUACUUCUGUGUAGCAGUAGCGCGUUUUGGCUGAAAGCCGGUACUGAUCAAUGUAUUUUUUCUGCGUUCAGAUGCACAAUUUAAAUAUGUUAUUUUUCAAACUAUCACAAGCAUUUGGUCUUCAUUGAACUCUCUAUAUAUAAAGAAGAAGAAGAAGAGGAGGAAGAAGAAGGAGAAGAAGACGAAGAAGAAGGAGAAGAAGGAGAAGAAGAAGAGGAGGAAGAAGAAGAAUAAGAAGAGGAAGAAGAAGGAGGAAGAAGAAGAAGAGGAAGAAGAAGAGGAAGAUGAAGAGGAAGAAGAAGAGGNNNNNNNNNNNNNNNNNNNNNNNNNNNNNNNNNNNNNNNNNNNNNNNNNNNNNNNNNNNNNNNNNNNNNNNNNNNNNNNNNNNNNNNNNNNNNNNNNNNNNNNNNNNNNNNNNNNNNNNNNNNNNNNNNNNNNNNNNNNNNNNNNNNNNNNNNNNNNNNNNNNNNNNNNNNNNNNNNNNNNNNNNNNNNNNNNNNNNNNNNNNNNNNNNNNNNNNNNNNNNNNNNNNNNNNNNNNNNNNNNNNNNNNNNNNNNNNNNNNNNNNNNNNNNNNNNNNNNNNNNNNNNNNNNNNNNNNNNNNNNNNNNNNNNNNNNNNNNNNNNNNNNNNNNNNNNNNNNNNNNNNNNNNNNNNNNNNNNNNNNNNNNNNNNNNNNNNNNNNNNNNNNNNNNNNNNNNNNNNNNNNNNNNNNNNNNNNNNNNNNNNNNNNNNNNNNNNNNNNNNNNNNNNNNNNNNNNNNNNNNNNNNNNNNNNNNNNNNNNNNNNNNNNNNNNNNNNNNNNNNNNNNNNNNNNNNNNNNNNNNNNNNNNNNNNNNNNNNNNNNNNNNNNNNNNNNNNNNNNNNNNNNNNNNNNNNNNNNNNNNNNNNNNNNNNNNNNNNNNNNNNNNNNNNNNNNNNNNNNNNNNNNNNNNNNNNNNNNNNNNNNNNNNNNNNNNNNNNNNNNNNNNNNNNNNNNNNNNNNNNNNNNNNNNNNNNNNNNNNNNNNNNNNNNNNNNNNNNNNNNNNNNNNNNNNNNNNNNNNNNNNNNNNNNNNNNNNNNNNNNNNNNNNNNNNNNNNNNNNNNNNNNNNNNNNNNNNNNNNNNNNNNNNNNNNNNNNNNNNNNNNNNNNNNNNNNNNNNNNNNNNNNNNNNNNNNNNNNNNNNNNNNNNNNNNNNNNNNNNNNNNNNNNNNNNNNNNNNNNNNNNNNNNNNNNNNNNNNNNNNNNNNNNNNNNNNNNNNNNNNNNNNNNNNNNNNNNNNNNNNNNNNNNNNNNNNNNNNNNNNNNNNNNNNNNNNNNNNNNNNNNNNNNNNNNNNNNNNNNNNNNNNNNNNNNNNNNNNNNNNNNNNNNNNNNNNNNNNNNNNNNNNNNNNNNNNNNNNNNNNNNNNNNNNNNNNNNNNNNNNNNNNNNNNNNNNNNNNNNNNNNNNNNNNNNNNNNNNNNNNNNNNNNNNNNNNNNNNNNNNNNNNNNNNNNNNNNNNNNNNNNNNNNNNNNNNNNNNNNNNNNNNNNNNNNNNNNNNNNNNNNNNNNNNNNNNNNNNNNNNNNNNNNNNNNNNNNNNNNNNNNNNNNNNAAUACAGCAAAAAAACCUACUCAGAAAUAAAUAGAAGAAAAAAAUAAAACAGAAAAGAAAUAACUAUAUAAAAAAUUACUCAAAAAUAAAUAGAAGAAAAUAAAUAAUGCACAAAAGAAAAAAAUUUAUAAAAAAAUGUUGGGGCGCUGCCUGGUGGGCCUGCCAGACCUAGGGUGUGCAAAUACAGGCCCAGAAGGGCCAGCAGGCUCACAGGGCAGCGCGCCCUAGUUAGGCCCAGAAGCCUGCUAUAUAGAGGAGUUCGAAAGGGCAGCCGCGGCUGGGUUUAUAAACCAGUGCGGCCGCCCUUCGCUCGGCGAGGUGGGACUAAAAGUAGCGCACUGCGGGUGGCAGCGCAGAGCCAUUAGUACCGGUUGGUGGCUCCAACCGGUACUAAUGUGUUGCCCUUUAAUACCGGUUGGAGCCACCAAUCGGUACUAAAGGCCCGCGUUUUCCGCCGCUUGGGCUGUCUAAAAUUGGGCUUUAGUACCGGUUGGAGCCACCAACCGGUACUAAAGGCCCCUCUUAUAUAUAUGUCACUUACGAAAAUUCAGUUAUCGUCGCCACUUUGUUCCACUUCUCGCGCGAGUCUCGAUCUCCGACGACGACGUCGACGCCACCGUGCCGUCGACCGCGUGCACGUCGUCGCCGUCCCCGGCGCCCUCGCCGCACGUCAUCGUCGUCGUCGCCGCCCCCGUCGCGCCUGUCUCGUCGCCGUCCCCGGCCGCCGCCCGUCUCGNNNNNNNNNNNNNNNNNNNNNNNNNNNNNNNNNNNNNNNNNNNNNNNNNNNNNNNNNNNNNNNNNNNNNNNNNNNNNNNNNNNNNNNNNNNNNNNNNNNNNNNNNNNNNNNNNNNNNNNNNNNNNNNNNNNNNNNNNNNNNNNNNNNNNNNNNNNNNNNNNNNNNNNNNNNNNNNNNNNNNNNNNNNNNNNNNNNNNNNNNNNNNNNNNNNNNNNNNNNNNNNNNNNNNNNNNNNNNNNNNNNNNNNNNNNNNNNNNNNNNNNNNNNNNNNNNNNNNNNNNNNNNNNNNNNNNNNNNNNNNNNNNNNNNNNNNNNNNNNNNNNNNNNNNNNNNNNNNNNNNNNNNNNNNNNNNNNNNNNNNNNNNNNNNNNNNNNNNNNNNNNNNNNNNNNNNNNNNNNNNNNNNNNNNNNNNNNNNNNNNNNNNNNNNNNNNNNNNNNNNNNNNNNNNNNNNNNNNNNNNNNNNNNNNNNNNNNNNNNNNNNNNNNNNNNNNNNNNNNNNNNNNNNNNNNNNNNNNNNNNNNNNNNNNNNNNNNNNNNNNNNNNNNNNNNNNNNNNNNNNNNNNNNNNNNNNNNNNNNNNNNNNNNNNNNNNNNNNNNNNNNNNNNNNNNNNNNNNNNNNNNNNNNNNNNNNNNNNNNNNNNNNNNNNNNNNNNNNNNNNNNNNNNNNNNNNNNNNNNNNNNNNNNNNNNNNNNNNNNNNNNNNNNNNNNNNNNNNNNNNNNNNNNNNNNNNNNNNNNNNNNNNNNNNNNNNNNNNNNNNNNNNNNNNNNNNNNNNNNNNNNNNNNNNNNNNNNNNNNNNNNNNNNNNNNNNNNNNNNNNNNNNNNNNNNNNNNNNNNNNNNNNNNNNNNNNNNNNNNNNNNNNNNNNNNNNNNNNNNNNNNNNNNNNNNNNNNNNNNNNNNNNNNNNNNNNNNNNNNNNNNNNNNNNNNNNNNNNNNNNNNNNNNNNNNNNNNNNNNNNNNNNNNNNNNNNNNNNNNNNNNNNNNNNNNNNNNNNNNNNNNNNNNNNNNNNNNNNNNNNNNNNNNNNNNNNNNNNNNNNNNNNNNNNNNNNNNNNNNNNNNNNNNNNNNNNNNNNNNNNNNNNNNNNNNNNNNNNNNNNNNNNNNNNNNNNNNNNNNNNNNNNNNNNNNGAAAUGUUAAUGUUAGAUGAAUUAGAAAUGUUAAUGUUUAGUUGAACUAGUUGAAUUAAUAUAUAGAUCGAACUAGUUUAUUUUUAGUAAAUGCUUAGCUGAACUUUUUGAAUUAAUAUAACUAGUUUAUUUUUAGUAAAUGCUUGGUUGAACUAGUUGAAUUAAUAUAACUAGUUUAUUUUUAGUAAAUGUUUAGUUGAACUAGUUGAAUUAAUAUAUAGAACUAGUUUAUUUUUAGUAAAUGCUUAGUUGAACUAAUUGAAUUAAUAGAACUAGUUUAUUUUUAGUGAAUGCUUAGUUGAAUUAAUAGAAAUAGUUGAAUUAAUUAAAUUAGUAAGUGUUUAAUGUUUCGCCUAAUAUGAACAUAGGAAAUGUCGUCUGACGACGAAAAAAAUUUCAUUAUGUGCGAGUACUGUGAAGACCAGCGCGGCCAGUGCGACAGAAAUUUCCUUGUUGACGGUAGGCGAUUCAGCAUCAAGCUGGAUGAGACCUUCGAAUUCGAUAUAGUAAGUCACAACGACAAGUCUGUUUUCGUAAUUAAGCAUGACUUAUAUAUAUACUUCAUUUGCCUGACUUAUAAUUUUUAAUUUUCAUUAUUCUAGUAGCGCAUCCCCUGCCAUGUAAUAAUUUUUGUCUUGGAUAAGAUAGGUUUCAAAGAUAUGGAAACUAUGGUGGUAAAGAGAGUUUACCUGAAAACUGAGCAUGAUGGUUAUACUUUCAACGUCAAAGUAUACAAUGCACUCACGCACACCUAUUUUGACAGCAAAACUUGGCAAGCACUAUGCAAGGCUUAUGCAUUUGAGCCUGGUAUGAUUAUCACCUUUGAUAUUCGUCCGGAAGAUGAUAUUGAAGGUAAUAGAGACAUAUGGGUCGAUGUGCAGACGCCUCCAGUUCUACCAUUAUAUGAGUUCUUCUCAACUAUAUUUUUGUAUUUGAUAUUGCUUAUUCAAAAAUAAUUGACAACUAAUUUCUAUUGACAGCUUAUCUCCAUUCAACCAAACAUGUCCAAACUACGAGGAGAUAAGUCAUUAUGUUUCAUGGCUUGAGGAUCUUCAUACUGUCAAGACAAAUUUUCUUCCUGCACUUAGAAAUAUUAAUACUUAUAAUGUGCGACCAAUAGUGAUGGUAUUGAACUACGGUCACAUCUAUUUAGGAAUGAUGGUAAGAUUUUUACUAUUUGUCCUCAGUGCAUCUUUUGCAUACAUAAUUUUUCUGCUAAACUAUCAUUGCUAAGUAUAUUAAUUAAGUACUAUACGAUGUUCUUCAACAGAGACUCCCGAUGACAGUUGUGCCUUAUGGGAUCGAGACUAAAGGUCGCAUGUCAAUUGUUAACUUACGGCCAAGAUAUCCUGCAUUGCACAUUAAUGCAUUCAGAAUUUUUAGAAGCGAUGAAUGCUUAAUAGUGAAAGAUUGGAGGAAAAUUAUUAACGAUUGCAGAGAAGUACUAGGGGGCAGCAAUGAGAAGCGCAUCCCACGAUUAGGAGACAGGUUCAUCGGCAUGCUCCAGUUUGAUGAAUCAGGAGAGUUAUACAUAUUCUAUGCUAUUUUACCAGAAAGAGAGUAGCUAGCAGGAGUGAUUUAGCUAGUUCAUGCUGCUCUUAGUACUUCUCCUUUCAUGUCCGUGUCCUUCGUUCUGAACUUAAGUGAUUUGCUUUUGUGGUGUUAUAUAUGAACGCUUAUAAUAUCAUGACAAUCAUGUUGAACUCGAUGAUAUUUUUGCUUUUGGUACAAGUGAAUGUUUCUUCUUUAAGCUAGUAGUGCUGGUGGUGAUUAGAUAUAUAGCUAGCGGUAAUGCAUGACUAUGAUGAUUAAUAUGAUGAUGAUGAUGAGUAGUUAUUAUAUCAUUUAAUGAAAGAAACCGCAGAUUAGUUUCAGCUGGAUGGAUCCUACCUAAGUGAUCAAGUAUAUGCCAUAUCCGUAUAUAUUAUAGUUGAUCAAGUAUAAUUAAUAUGGAUGUGGCAUAUACUUGAUCACUUAGCUAGCUAUCCAAUGCAUCCAGUCGAAACUAAUCCGCGGUACUUUCACCUAAUGAUUUAACAACUCAUUAUAAUGUAAAACAAUCACUAAAUUAAAUUACAAACACAAAAUUAAAGGAAAAAAAACACCCAAACAUUUAGUACCGGUUGGUAACACCAACCGGUACUAAUGCCCUACAUGCAAACGGGCCUGGCUCGUGCCACGUGGUGGCACUUUAGCCGGUUCUGACGAACCGGUACUAAAGGGGGGGACCUUUAGUCCCCACUCUUUAGUGCCGGUUCACGAACCGGCACAAAAGGCCUUCACAAACCGGCACAAAAGGCCAGUUCUGCACUAGUUAAUUGUCAUAAGAAACUUUACAGCAAAACAAAGAUUUCAGCGCACCCUCCAGGCUAUAAAAGAACAUGGCUUGGCCAUAAGCAUGUACAAGCCUGUUCCAACCCCAAUCAGAGAUGAGGAACUCAAACCUUCGCUGAAGCGAUUCUUUGGAUGCCCUCAACAAAAUCAAAACCUUAGACACAGGAAUACUCACCCUCAGCAUCACUCAACCUGAACGCCUUCUUCAGGUACUCCAUUUUGGCAGUGAUAUUUUUCCCGCCAAGGAAUGCGACAAUGCACAGGGUGUGUCUGAACAUCCCAUAGUCACGGCGCACACCAAUGCCAUUGGUGCAAGCCAACAUCGCCUAGGAUGCAUUAAAUUUCAAAACAGAAAUUUUAAUACAAUGCAGAAUGGCAUGCUCUCACCUAGUUCCAAGUUAUAAAUAAAAUGGCAUGAGGAUGAACAAGUUCACAACCAAGUCAUGGUUUCUGCUCUACUAAAUGAUAACACUAACAUAUCAGGAUUGAAAUUAUCAGUUUUAUUUCAUCAAGCGUUGGCAAUGACCAUACCAGCAUCUAACAGAGCAGACAACCAACAUCCAGUUAGGCAAAGUACACCAAAAUAGGAAUUACCAGCUUCCCGGACAAUGAAAACUUUGUUGCACCGUACAUGGUUUACCAAUUUUCAUAGCCCAUUCUUGGUUCACGUAAAUCUGAAUCUAGCCGGCACUUCCCCUUUGCAAGCAGCCACAUAGUCUUCAGCGAGGUGUGGUGCGGCUUCCUUGUGGGGGCAGAUGAACUUUUUCAUGAAAACCUUCUCAGUCUCAACCAGUGUUGUAUAGUAGCUCCGCCCGUGCUCUAGCAAUCCAUUUUCCUUGAGAAAUUUCACAACAUAGUAGCGGGGCCUGAGCCGGCCCUCCAGGCUGUAGGUGAGCAUAGCCGGCCGAUGAGCAAUGUAGGCCGGUUCCAACCCAACCUCAGAGAUAAGGAAGUCGGACCUGCGCUUCAGCAUGUCCUUUGACCUCGCCAGCAUAAACGGACCCUUGGACACAGCAAUGCCAACCUCGGCAUCCGACCACCUAAACGUCUUCUUCAAAUAGUCCACUUUAGCAGUGAUCUUCUCCUCGCUAAAGCAUGAGACGGCAUGCAGGGCGUGCCCGAACAUUCCAGAGCUACGGGGCACACCUAUACCUUCGGCGCACGCAACCAUCUCCAGGACGUGCCCUAGUUUGGCGCCAAACAUCCUCGGCGCACCUAUGAACAACUUGGCAAUUUCACAAGCACCUAGCCCGCACUCUGCUAGGAGCUUGACAUUUGGCUUGACCACCCUCUCGAGGUCAGAGCCGAGGACAUGUCUGAGCGGCCGGAGCAAGUUAUCGAUGGGGCCGAAGAGUGGAAGGUAGUACUCUAGCUUGGAGACGACGGAUCUGCAGCGGAAGUAGCCGGGGGCGAGCGAGACGAGGCGCGCAAUCUCAGCAUUUGACAGGCCGAGGCCGGUGAGCCCAGCGACGACAGGGGACAGGGUUGUCUCCACUUUGGCGCAGAGGAAAAGCGGGUCCCUGGCGACGAGGGCUGUCGCACCGGCGCCGGAGAGGCCGAGGCCGGCGAGGAAGGCGAGGACAACGUCGGGCUUGGCGGGGGACUUAAGGUGGGAGAGCUUGGCGGAGGCCAGUGCCUGGGCACGGGUGAGGCCGCAGGUGGAGACGAGGUAGUCCUCGACGGCGAAGCUAGGGUUCGGUGAAAUGGCGGACGCGGCGGCGGAGAGGAGGUGGUGGAGAGAGAGAGGAGUAGGGUGGUAGAAGGAUGGAGAGCGGCGGAGAGGAGAUGAGAGAGGACGCGCUGCCGGAGGUGGAGCAUGACGCCGACGGCGGCGGCGGUGGCGGCGUUGGAUGUGGGAUGCGGCGUGUGUCUCCCUCCUCCGAUGGUGGGGGAGCAACUACAAUAGAAUCUAGACUUGUGAUAGAAGAAUAGAAAAAACUAAUCUGGGCCAUCGAAUCGAACAUGAAUGGUACAGAUUCUUGAUGGAGUCACCCCACGCCACUAAAUAUACAUUUUAUGAAAACCCCCCUGAAACUGGUUAGGCAUAGAAUUUAACUUUUACAGUAUCCACCUCACCUUUCUCAUAUCCCAUCAUUUUGUCCCUAAUAAGUAAGACUAAUUUUCAAAUCCUCACAGCGUUGAUGCCUCCUGUAUGCACAUAUCCUAGUAGCUUCUACUAAAUCACUAAUUAUACAAGAAAAUUGAACACAUUGGUCAACAAAAAGUAUCUCAAUAUCUAUCACAGAUAUUGUGUACGUGAGAAAAAAUGAGCCACCCCCCUUAACUACAUCUCAAACUAGACCAUUCAAGGCACAAACAUUUGAGUACAUGUCAAUAUUUAAGUACAUGUCAAACCGAGCAAUCUCAUGUACAAAUUUGAGUACAUGUCAAACUGGGUCAUCCCAUGCACAAAAUUUGAGUACUUGUCAAUAUGCAGCAUCCUGGGCAUACAAGAGAUAUACAUACAUAUCCAGCGAUACAUUGCAUGACAGAAUCAUAUGGACUAAAUGAUCACCGUUGAACAACCAUUGCUAUAAAAAAUCUGCCUCCAGUUCUAUUGCUUCUUGCUCAUCGAGCUUCAUGUGCUGAAAAGAUCACACCAAACAAGUACGAUUCAGUUUGAGCACAAGACCAAUGUUAGUGUCGUACAACCAUACUUAAAAAUUUUACUCAUGAACUAAUCAAAUGAAUGUGCAUCAACAAUACAUUUGGCUAGCAGGAACAAAACUGUAAACUGAAUAUAGUCAUUUGAACACUUCACAUAGCAUCAUCACUACACUAGCAAUAAGAAUUGAUCAGGGGUAACUUUUUCCAUAGCGGGGAGAUAAAUUUUCUUACAUCAUUCUCUCAAAUAUGUGAGUGGAAAGAUUAUUCACGUGCAAUAUAACCAGCCUAAAGCAUUUGGAUACCAUUUUCCAUUCCAUGUGAUUGUUGCUUUCUACAUAGAACAUGAAAUGUAUUACACUUAUGACAUCUUUUUAUUAUGUGUUACUACUACAUGCAUGUCUCCCACGACUCCGAAAGAAACAAAGUUAGAAAAGAGGGCACAAGUUAAUUGAGAGCAUGUGUCCUGAGCGGUGAACAAAUAAUGAACCUUUUAAGCCACUAAGACACAAUUGACCGAAGAAAGUACUCAAUAAUAUUUUUGUACUGAAAAAUAUAUGAUUUCUUUCGAGUGUUUUGUUCACCAAUUGAUUGAGUUAGUAGAUAAUUUCCAUAUUAGGCCUACUUCUUGGCUUCCUACAGUCAGAAAGAUUGAAAGUGAUGCCUACACGCUGAAGCAAGCAUUUGAAAAUUGGAUUCCCCGAAACAUAAAAUUGCAACCGACAACCAAGAAAGUAUAUUCAUUAAUGAGAAAACGGCAAUCUCCAAAUUUGAUUCCUACAAUCUCUUAUUCAUUGAUGACAAAACUGGAAUGUACUGGAGAUGCAGUAGCAGCCAAGAAGCUGAGGCCAUCUUCCUCCAUUGAAAAUUUGAUUCCCCAAAACGUAUAUUGCACAAGAAAAUGGAGAUCGUACCAAAUUUUAGAAAAAAGUUUAGCAAUCGGGCAUUUCUAUAUCAGUUGUCCAUGUCCAAGCUAUCCUUGGCUAGCCUGAGUAUGAUACACUCCACCAUAUUCUGCAGGUUUACGCUAGAUAUACAUGGUCCUUGAGUAUGUGAUAAAUGGAAGAGAGCUAUUUGAGAAAAUCGCAAGGAUUCUUCUCCUUAUGCUUUCAGUGUGCUAGCUGCUAAGCAUGCUCAGGAACUAAUGAAUCAAAUUCCAGAGAUGUAAUAGACUUUCACAUGCAUCAUGCAUCUCAAAAGCUCCCUAAUACAGUACACUGGCAAGAACUAAAGGGCAAGCAGUCAGAUCUCUGAAAUUAAUUCUAGAAAAUAGAAAUCCAACGAACAUAAACAUCAUGGAAGAAUGAAUCCCUCACCGUACCGGCGCGUAAGAACACCUGGCGCACGCGGGCGUCGGGCUGCGUCUUCGCGAACAAGUUCGUGCCGCAGGUCUGUAACUCAGCUGCGAACCCGUCGGCAUCCGGCAUGGAGAAGUCCAGGUGGUGCCUCAGAUGCACGGACGGGGCGCCCGCGGCCAUCGGGGAGGAGAAGACCGUGGCGACGGCGGGGGUGCCUGGAGGCGGAGCUUGGAAGAUGGAAUGCAAGGGGG